rnacentral:lncRNA from 1 species
UUUUUUUUUUUUUUUUUGAGCAAUGUCUCAAAGCUUUUCAUAGACUUGAAAAUGGACCUUCUUUUUUUCCCACUUUAAAAAGCAAUUUCCCCUUUUUUUUUCAAUAUGAAAAUAGCUCUGAAUAAAAACAUAAGGAAUUUUUUUUUGUUAAUUUCAAUUUCAAUUUUCCAUUAAAGCUUAAGCUAUGAUUCUUCGAGGAGUUAUUAGCUCUCACUAUUCGCUUCGUCUUCUUCUAAUUGGCUUUCUAGUAGUUUCUUCUUCAAUAACCAGAGUUCUCAGUGGGGGUGUUAUUCAUGUUAAAUACAAAUUCGCUGGCAGUCAACGUUCGAUCGUUGACUUAAAAGUCCACGACAGCGUUCGUCAACUCCGGAUCCUCGCUGGUGUUGAUCUUCCCUUGGGUGGUUCCGGUCGACCCGACGGUCUUGGGUAAGUGUUCCGUUUUUUUUCCCCUUCUUUCAAUCAUUGAAUUCGCUAUGUUUGUAUGGAAUUCGAAUUAGCUUGGGUCCGUGUUUCAUUAAUUCUUCUUUUAAUUAUUCAGCUUGCUAAGUUCGUACUAGAUUUGAUUUUUUUUAAACGAAGUUUGUGUUUGUGUGUGCGUGUGUUUAAAUGGUUAUUAUUUUUUUGUAGGCUUUAUUAUGCUAGAAUAGGGAUAGGAACACCUUCAAAGGAUUACUAUGUGCAAGUAGAUACAGGAAGUGAUAUAAUGUGGGUUAAUUGUAUUCAAUGUAAAGAAUGCCCCAGAAGAAGCUCUCUUGGUGUAAGUCUUUCCCCCCUUUUUUUUUUUAUCAUUCUUUUUGUGUUUUCAUUAAGCUUUAUUUGGUUAUGGCUUUUACUUAUUAUAUUUUGCUUACUUUUAAUCUUUGGUUCUUAAAAUAACACCUGGCUGGAAGUAAAAUUACGCUAAAUGAUUGAAUAUUUAUAUAUAAAGAUUGAUAAAAUUCUGGGAAAAUAGUUAUUUGUUUUUGUAUUCAAACCUAAACAGUAAAAGUUGAAAGUAACAAUGAGUUGCUUUUGAAGUUCAAUUUGUCAAAAAUAUUCAUUGCCAAAUAUGUUAUUAGGGUAACAACUAACUGCUAAAGAUUGUCCUAAAUUCUUGGUAUACCUAUCACAUUUGAUUGUUUUUUGUUUUACUUUAUAUGCUAUGGUUACAGAUAGAUCUUACUUUGUACAAUAUUGAGGAUUCUGCCACUGGCAAGUUGGUUUCAUGUGAUCAAGAUUUUUGUUAUGCCAUAAAUGGAGGUCCACUGGCUGGUUGUACGGCUAAUAUGUCUUGUCCGUAUCUUGAGAUAUAUGGAGAUGGGAGUUCCACUGCUGGAUACUUUGUAAAUGACAUUGUGCUAUAUGAUCGAGUGUCUGGUGAUUUGAAGACCUCAUCUGCAAAUGGAAGUGUUAUAUUUGGGUGAGUCGUCAAUCCUGCUCAUACUCUUCUCUAAUUCAUACUUGUGCUACAUGUGGUACUGUGUUAGCUUUUAAAUUCUGAACUUGUAACAUUCUGUGCACUUCAUUGCUAAAUAUUCUAACUUGCAUGUGUAACUACUGCUGAUAUCAUUACAAGUUAAUCUCUUUAAUUUUAAAAUUCAAAGUUCUUAUGUUUCCUUUCUACGUAGCAUAACAUUAUAGUCAUCUAGAUUUUAAGAACCAUUUACAAAUUAUUCCUGAAAAGUAGAAAAAGUUUUUGAAAAUUGAAUCUAAGUUCUUUAGUGCUCCACGUAGUUUCCUGAUUAGUUUGUUUUGUGAGAUUUUGUUUGAACUGUAUACCCCUUUCAGGGUUCUUCAGAAUCAUGUCAUGAGAUCACUUUAGUUUCAAACAUGCCUGGGUUAAUGAAUGCUUUUGCAUAUGUAACUUACAGAUUGUGUUUGUAAAGUAUGUGUAUGUUUGCUGUUUUAUUCUGCUUUUUUUAAAGGUAUUUUAUGGUUACUCUACCUUUCUUUUUUCAUAGGUGUGGAGCUACACAAUCAGGGAAUCUAGGUUCAUCUAAUGAAGAAUCACUUGAUGGAAUACUUGGUUUUGGAAAAGCUAAUUCAUCAAUGAUUUCCCAGCUUGCUUCAUCUGGAAAAGUGAAAAAUAUGUUUGCUCACUGCUUAGAUGGGGUUGAUGGAGGCGGUAUCUUUGCUAUUGGGCAUGUUGUGCGACCAAAAGUUAAUAUGACCCCAUUGGUACCAAAUCAGUAUGUGACAUCUUUGGUGAAUAUCAUUGCUUGUACUUUAGCAUCAAUGUUUUCACUUGCUGAUAUUUUAUUUUUCGUUGAUUUGGAUUAGUUUAGCAUUGUGUUAUAAAACUACAUUAGUUUUUCAAGGAAAGUAUCACUGUUCAUGGAGAAUCAUUUGCCUGAGUGGAUUGAAUGAGAUAGUGUGUUGUUAAACUUUUUUCUGUUUUGGUCAACAAAUUUUUCUAACAUAAUUGAAGUGGUCAAAUUCUGGAAAGGCUCUCUUGUGAAAUGCUGCAUGAAAUUGUUCACUUACUACAUCUGAAAUUUCUCUAUGGCUUAAAACCAUUGUUUAGGUCAGCAACACAUUGUUAUUGUCUGGAUCGUAGACUAGCUUCUCCAGCAUACAAUAUUUAAUCAGCUUAUUCACUUAUGCAUGUGAUUCUGUACAUUGAACUCAAUUUUGUUAUGUGAAAUUUCAGGCCACAUUACAAUGUCAAUAUGACAGCAGUUCAAGUUGGUCAUGAUUUCCUAAGUUUUACGCCUGAUAUUUUCGAUUCCGGAGAUCGACAAGGGGUAAUAAUAGACAGUGGAACAACCUUAGCUUAUCUCCCAGAAAUGGUUUAUGAACCAUUAGUUAGUAAGGUAUGUGAUAUAAAUUUGGUUUAUAUAUUUCAGAUAGUUUCACUUCAGUCUGCUAAAGUGUUACAUUUUUUUCCUUUUUAAUCUCUGGUUAGAUACUUUCUCGGCAGCCUGAUUUGAAGCUUCAAACUAUUCAUGAUGAAUAUACAUGUUUUCAGUACUCUAAGAGGUAUGAAACAUGGAUAUAGCAAUUGUGACCUUUGAGCACCUAUGUACAUUCCCCUCUUGUUGCUUCUUUGAAAAUGUUUAUCAUGCUUAAAUUUGGAUUUUUAUUUUCAUUUAUUUCUUAUCUUAAAUUUCUUUAAGUAACUAAAUUUUAUGUGGCAUCCUAAUCUUAUUGUGGGAAUAUUUUUAUCAGAUUUUUGCACUUCACAUUUUCUUUUGGUUUGUGUUUCAAUUUUUAAUUAAUUUUUCCUUAGUAAUAGUUUGUGCUUGCUUCCUUUGUGCUAGCUUGAACCUGCCUUUUAGGUGCUUCUAAUCAAUUUUUCUGAUCAAGGAAAUUGUAUGCCAUUAGUACAUUUCUUUAUGAUUAUUGAUUCAAAUUUUAUUUCUAGCUAUAUAUUUCUUGAUGACGCUAGUGUUAGUGCUUGACUCUCUUUUCCCCCCUCCAAAUGUUCUGAAUACAAUCUUUUGCUCCCAUUGGCCAGAUUAACUGGAGUAAAUGACUCAUAUACUGAGUUCUAUAUGCUACACCUAUUUUAAUUCCUAGUUUGUCAAGGAACAAUUUUAUUUACAUGUAUUUAUUUUCUUGCAGUCUUGAUGAGGCAUUUCCAAAUGUCACUUUCCAUUUUGAAAAUUCAGUGACUCUGAAGGUUAAUCCACAUGAGUACCUAUUCCCCUAUGUAAGUAUGUUUCACUGCAGAAAUUUAGAAUCUUUAUUAUUAAUGGUGGCCAUAUCUGUAUGUUCUGAUGAAAUAAACAUUUGUAUCUCCUUUCAAUUUGGACUAUGCUUUAUGCUUGUGUGAAGAAGUCUUUCAAAACACUUGCCAUUUCUCUUCCUUGGUCUAAUUUUAGUUUAGGAAAGUCUUUAGUUUUGCUACUAUUUAAAGGCCCCUUGUGUAACAUUUACCUGGUCUUUGGCUCAACAUGUAACUAUUAGAUUAGGUUCAAUGAAUUUUAAAUAGGUUUUAUUUGGGAACUACAAUGUUUUUGAAUGCAAACCAGUAGUAUAAUUUUAACAAUUACUACAUAUUAGGAUUGUUUAUGCCAUGUGAUUAAAUCUAUAGUGUCUUACAGGUUCUUCAGAAUAUGUAUAAUUUUAACAAUUACUGCAUAUUAGGAUUAUUUAUGUUGCAUGGUUAAAUCUAAAGUAUAAAACAUGUAGAGUUUGCAUAAAUUGAUAUUUACAAGAAUGGAUUUGUGCAGAAUGGGUUGUGGUGCAUUGGAUGGCAAAACAGUGGAAUGCAAUCCAGGGAUCGAAAGAAUAUGACCCUUUUGGGAGGUAUGCCUUCCAAACCUACUUUUUAUUAUGUCAGAAUUAAAGACCUAUCUUCCAACUGAGAAUAACAUGACUUAAUGUAGAUUUAGUCCCUGUUGCUUAAGUAAAUAACAUGAAUUUUGUAACUUUAUCUGCCUUAAUAUUACUCUCAGCUAGGAGGGCUUGCAUUGAAUUAAUGAAACUAUCGGCUUCACACUACUAGGUUUGCCUCACUCAGUCCCUGUGAGAAUAAUGAUUGUAUAAAAAUCUCUUAAGCAUGCUCCAUUUAUUGAAAAAUGUCGUAUACAGACUUUCAGAACAGCUCAGAUAGAAAACUUUCAAGAUUGCUUUAAGCCAAAUCUUAAAACUAUAUAAAUGUCUGACAUAAGUAAAACCUAAAAUAAGAUUCUAUGGCCAAAAUGUGCGAAAUCCAGUGAAUCCAAAACUCAUCAUAAUUCCUAGAGAAACAUAUACCCCUUGACAUUAGAUGUCCUUUAUAUUACGGUGCGAAAAUAUUUUGUUGCUUAUUCUUUUAAAUUAUCAUUAAAAAUACCUUUUUACCAUACCCUUUUCAGAAAUUUUUUUUUAGGUUGUCCUGAAUGAUUGGUUAUUUUUAUAACUUGGAUUAAAAAGGUUUUACUCAUCAAAUCCAAGUGAAUACUAAAUGGAAUUCUUGAGUGUGUACCGUGUAGCAUUGAUUUUAUUAGACCGUAAGAUGCAAUAGUAUUUGCUGAAAUUAAAGUAAUUUGAAUUUUCCAUGGGACUUUGCUUUGUUGCUUACAGAUUUAGUGCUUUCCAACAAGCUGGUUUUGUAUGAUUUGGAAAAUCAGACCAUUGGAUGGACUGAGUACAAUUGUGAGUGUCGUGUUACUUUCCCUUUCACGAUUGCUUUAUAAAUUUUGUACUAAUUGGUAUAAAUCUCAGUGAAUUAUUAUUGUUUCUUUUGUUUUAUAAGAGAUGUUUCUGCUUUACUUAUCUUACUUGAUUGUGUCUCAAUAAGUAUUACUAUAAUAGAAUGUUUUUGAUAGUUACAUUGCCCUUUCUAUAAAGAUAUGCCAAUCUUUUAAAGAUAUUCAAAUUUUCCAUCUAUACUCCGACCUAUGUUACUUGGAGUAGGAUGUAAGUGCGGUUUACGAGUAUAUGUCCGACAUCGGUAUGUUCAAUUUUUAUUAAAAGUUUUUCCAUGUAUUUGGAGGGUUCUUAGAAAGUCAUAUCCGUACACCCAUAUGGGUAUUUCAAGCAAAACUAAGGAUUGGAGCAACCUAGACUCCAAUUAUUAACUCGUUCAUGUUAAGAAAAGUCAUGUUUUCCAAAAUUACUUCUGUUUUUGACUUUCGAGUGAAUACAAUUCUUUUAUCUAGUGUGUUUGAUGGUUUUCAGCAGCGAAGUAUCUAUUAUAGCUAGAAAGAAGCACAUGAUCUGUUGUAGAGAUCUAAGGUUCUUUGUGUUCCUGUCUCAUGACAUUUUUCUAUGGUUAUUUAUAGGUUCUUCAAGCAUACAAGUGCUGGACGAAAGGACCGGAACUGUGCAUUUAGUAGGUUCCCAAAACAUUUCUUCUGCUUGCCAUUUGAAUGCCUGGUUUAUUACGGUUUUGAUCUUGUUAGCUACGUUACCGCACUUUUUGGGCUGCUAGUAAAUCUGUAGACAAUACGAAAAAAAGCUAACAAUCAAUUUAAAGAUAAAAGAAAUCAAAUAUAAAAUAGAAAUCAAGAUAUUCAUCUUGAUAUAGUUUGUUGAAAUGAUAGAAUAGAAUAGAUAACUUGGACAUCUCUAUAUGUAUCCAUCCAUACAUGGCAUAGCAAUAAACUGGGAUAAAAAAAAUUGUAAGACAACCACUAUUGUUCUAUAUUUUUUGCUUUGCCUGGUGAAUAUGUGGAAAUACAGGAAAUUAACCAGGUUCACUUGUUCUAUUCCUAUUUAUGGUAGAGCUUAGCUUGUGGUGAAAGGUUUUUUUUUUUGUUGGGUUCAAAUGAGGUCGUAGUUGAGGUUGGGGUAUAAUCGUUUGGGUUUUGAUGAAUUUUUAAAAAUUAGAUAUGUUUAAAAAUCGAGUUCAAUAUAUUAUUGUUUUAUUAAAUAUUAAAUAUUUAUAAUUAAUUUUAAUAAAUAUUGAUUUAUAUUUAAAUGGUAGUUCGAUCCAAAUCCAAAAUUAAAUUCAAUCAAAUCGGAUCUGUUAUUGAAUAAGAAAUAUUAUCGAUAGAGUUUUAAUUCGAUUGAUAUGGAUAUUAUUACUAAUAUAAGAAGAUGUCAAUUUGAGUAUGUUAAAAUAUAUUAUUAUCUUAUUUAUUGGUUCGGGGUCGGAUUAAAAAAAAUCGUUGAGGAGUAAAAAUAAAUAAUUUGCUUCUGCGUGAAACACAUGCUCGAAGACAGCACGUGCGGUUGGUAUUAUGUUACUCUUAAACGGUAAAAAUACUUAGCAGGUUCCUCUAUCAUAUGGACUAGAUUAAAUUAAUUCAUUUAUUAUUGAAAUGAAAACUUUAGUCAUGCUAUUAAAAAAAAUCAAAAUUGGAAAAAAUUUAGGAUUCAAUAAAAUCUUUUUGUCUAGUUUUACAAAAAAAAAUUAUAUAAUAUUUUAAAUAAUACAUAUUAAUUAUAUUACAAUUUGACAUUAUUUGAUAUUUUAACGGUACAUUGAUUAAAUUCUUCCAUUUAAUAAUAGAUGGAUUAAUUUAAUCUAGUCCUUAUAAUAGAGGGACUUUGUAAGUACUUUCACCUUGUCAAUACAUAAACAACGACAUCAUUUUAAAGGUGUAAAACAAAAAAGGUUAAAAUUAUUUCAUUCAGUCAAGUCAACUCUUUGUACAUUUAAAAUUUAAUUCAUCUAAUUUUAGUUUUUGGAAUUAAUUUUUUAUUUUUAAAUUUCAUAGUAAUUUAGGUUGAAUUGUUUACGUGGCAUUUUGAAAUAAAAAAAGGUUUUAAUUACAACGUUGGCCUCCAAAUUAUACACUUUUCGACUUAGAUACUUAAAUUUUUUUUUUUUGGUCAAAAGUGAUAUUCAAACUAUCAAUUUCAUCUCAUUUUAUCUGAAAAAGUCUAGGAUAUCCAAUAACAAAUGUGCCAUGUUCUUAUUGGUUGAUAUCUUAUUUUUGGGUAAAACGAGACAAAAUUGAUAGUUUGUGUACCACUUUUGACAAAAAAAUUAAGUACUUAAGUGAGAAAAAUAAUAUAGUUUGAGAGCUAGUUUUAUAUUUAAACCUAAAAAAAUACUUAACUUGUUAGUCCAAUAACCAAAAAAAAAAACCUAUUAAAAUUGAGUUAACAAAAGGAUUAUAACGAUUUUAAUAAUUAAACUUGUAAUUUUAAACCCGAAAAAAUUAAAAUUUUUGAAAUAAAAAUAAAAACCCUAAAUUUUAAAUGGACAAAAAUUACAAGGACUUAUAUAAUAUUUUAACCCAUUAAAAUUUUAUUUACUGUGCGUGUAAACUGUAAAACCAAAUUAAAGUUUAUUUGUUUUAUUAUUUAUAUAUUAAUUUUAUAGCUAAAACCCUAAUCAUUUAAAUACCUCUUUUCCUCUCUAAGUUUCUAGCAGUGUUCCUCAGCAAGCAAACAUUUCUCUUAUUUUUAUUUUAAUUUUUUUUUCAUAAAUUUCCUCUCUCUUUUUUCUAAACCCUAGAAUCUCAUCUCAUUGAACUGAAUUUGAGCAUCUAGGGUUUAGGUUUUUUUUUUGGGUUUAAAGUUUUAAUUUCACAAUUUUUUUCAUAAAAAAAAUGGAUGUUCCAAGUCUUGUUGUUGUUCUUCAAGCUGCUCUUAGUCCCAAUCCUGCUGAACGCAAAGCUGCUGAAGAAAGUCUUACUAAGGUUCUUUUUUUUAGUUUAAUUGUUAUGUAAUUGGCUUUGAUUAUCUGUUUUUAGAUCAGAAGAUUGAUUUUCUUUGGUUUUCUUUUUUGGAUUUUUGGUUUCAGUUUCAGUAUACGCCACAGCAUCUGGUGAGAUUGUUACAGAUCGUCAUUGAUGACAAUUGCCCUAUGGCUGUUCGUCAAGUUGCUUCUAUUCAGUUCAAGAACUUCAUUGCCAAGAAUUGGGCUCCUCUUGAUCCUAGUAUAAAAAUUUUAAUCAAUCAAUUUUACUUUUUUAAUAUAUUUUUCUCUCUAUAUUUAUGUUUAUGAAUAUGAUAACGGAUAUAUAUUUGUUUUGUCUUUAAUGAAUGUAGAUGAGCCACAGAAAAUAUUGCAAAGCGAUAAAGAUAUGGUUCGUGAUCAUAUUCUUGUAUUUAUUGCUCAAGUUCCUCCUUUGUUAAGGUACCAUUGUGUAGUGUCCCUCUUUUUUUGGUUUUUUUUUCUUUCAGAAUUGUUUACUAGUUCAUUGGUUGUCUCGCAGAUUGCAUUCUUAAGUUGCUUUUUGAUUCAUGUUGUAUUUUAUUGCAGGGUGCAAUUGGGUGAGUGUCUCAAGACCAUUAUCCAUGCUGAUUAUCCGGAGCAGUGGCCACGGCUACUGGAUUGGGUGAAGCAUAACCUACAAGGUCAGCAGGUUUAUGGGGCUUUGUUCGUGUUGCAGAUUCUUGCUAGAAAAUAUGAGUAAGAACAUAUAUAUAUAUCACAUUCUCUUUUUGUCAGCAUGUUUUCUUUAUUUCAGGUUCCAGUUAUUAUCUUGUAUUGUUGCAUUUGUAUUGUAAUUCUUUUAACGUAAAGUGCCUUCUGAAGGUGAUGCAAACUUAUUUGUUUUAAUGCAAUUAACAUCAUUUGACAGCUUUAAUGAUUGAUUAUGGUAUUUGCUUGGAGGAAAGUUUACACGAUGUUUUGAUUCAAAUAACCGGUCCUAGUUGUCUUAGUUUAGUGCAUCCUUAUGUUGUUAUUCUUUGAUUCUUUAAUACUAAUUUAUAAUUUUCUUUAAUAUUCUAGGUUCAAGUCAGAGGAGGAGAGAACUCCAGUUCAACACAUUGUUCAGGAGACAUUUCCUCAUCUUCUCAAUAUAUUCAGCAGACUUGUCCAGAUUGAAAAACCAGCAGUUGAAGUAGCAGAUCUGAUAAAGCUUAUUUGUAAAAUUUUCUGGUCAUCAAUCUAUGUAAGUCCAAAUUGCUACUUUAUUGUUCAUCAUUUACUAGAAUGCUAAAUAAUAGUCCAUUUUAGUGCUUUCCUUUGUAUUUAUUUUUAUCUCAAGGAACAGCAUGUGCCAAAUAUUUUGAGCAGAACUAUUUAUAGUACAGUAUUUUUAUGUCUACGGUUACCAGUUUUCUUUAAUUUGUUUUAUGAGGUUUUUUUGAUUCAUAUGCCAUCUUUGGGAUAUUUUUUCUACUUUUCAGUUGGAGAUUCCAAAGCAGUUACUUGAUCCUAAUGCAUUCAAUGCUUGGAUGAUGCUCUUCUUAAAUGUUCUGGAGAGGUCUGUCCCUUUGGAAGGCCAACCUCUAGAUCCUGAGCUCCGGAAAUCAUGGGGCUGGUGGAAGGUGAAAAAAUGGACUGUUCAUAUCUUAAAUAGGCUAUAUACUAGGUAAGCUGAGAAAUUGGAACAUGGUUUGGAGUUAUUUUUGGUAGUCCUCAAAUUAUCAAUCUUGUUUGUGAUUUUGGUGGCUAUAUUACAGGUUUGGAGAUUUAAAGCUUAGGAAUCCAGAAAACAGGGCUUUUGCCCAAAUGUUUCAGAAGAACUAUGCAGGAAAAAUUUUGGAAUGUCACUUAAACUUGUUGGGUGUUAUUCGUGUUGGUGGCUAUCUCCCUGACAGAGUUACCAACCUUAUUCUUCAAUAUCUAAGCAACAGGUUUGCAGUGUGUUAAUGCUUAAAUUGGGUUAAUAGUUGGUGCUUUGAUUUUGUUUAGUCAGUUUAAGAUGUUCUGUGAGAGCUGGCAAUUAUUUUGGGAUAAUUGGACCACCACUUUUUCAAGGCUAAAGUUGCCUGUAUUUAACUGGAAGAAUAGGUUUUUUUUUGAAUAUCUUCUUUCCAUUGGUGCCUGUUACUUUCUCUCUGUUGCCAAGUGAGAAAUAUGCUGAGCUUAAUGGAGGAUUUAUGACUACCUAGGAUUUGAUGUUCAUAUUGUGUUAACAUAAAAGCCACGAAUUUUUUCUGUUGCAGUGCUAAUAAGAGUAAUUUCUCUUUGUAUUGUAUAACUUCUUUUUAUUUUUGUAAACAAACGAAACCCCCAUGCCAGUUCCUACUUUUCUGCCCUAUAUUUAUUAUGAUGGUAGGGUUCCUUGAUUGCAUCACACAAACAAGAAGAAUGGAUCAUUUCCAAGGAUGAUUGUAUCUCACAACCACAAAAGCUAUAAGCUAAGAUUGAAAUGUAUGCAUAUACCUUCAAUAGAGGAGUACGCUAAUUUAUAUAUGGACCCUUAAACUUGCAGUGUAAGUUAACAAGCUUUACUUGACUUCAAACUCAAGAAAAUGGAAAAACAAACUUCACUUGAAAUCAAAAUUAAUAGGGUAAGGAAAACGACACUAAGAUGCUAAGCGCUGAUUAAAUGUAAAGUACUAAAUGAUAUAUGAACAAUUAAGCUCAAAAAGUGUAACAAAAUAAUACCUCAAGUAACAAAUAAAAUACUAAAUAAACCAUGAACAAUUAUCUUCUAAGGUUUCUGCAUAUACCAUGUUUUCAUUCUGCAAAUUGUAUUUAGUUUACAAAUGUUCCACAUGGAUUUUGACAGAAAUAACAUUUAUUUAUAUGCAGCAUCUCGAAAAAUAGCAUGUAUACUUUAUUGCAGCCACAGCUUGAUGUUCUUCUUUUUGAGAUAGUCUUCCCUCUCAUGUGCUUCAAUGACAAUGAUCAAAAGCUUUGGGAGGAAGAUCCACAUGAGUAUGUAAGGAAGGGCUAUGGUAAGCUCCAAAAACCUGGUAUGUCUGUUGCAAAACCUUGAAUGAGCCACAUUGGUCAUACAUUUUAUUCUUGCACUCCAGAUAUAAUUGAAGAUUUAUAUAGUCCAAGGACUGCUUCCAUGGACUUUGUGAGUGAGUUAGUCAGAAAACGUGGAAAAGAGAAUCUUCAAAAGUUUAUUCAAUUCAUUGUGGAAAUUUUCAAGAGGUAUUCUUUUACUUUUGAAGCUUAAUAGAGACAGGAAUAUUGGGAUUCUUUAAUUUUGACUUGUUGGUAUAUUCAUGCCAUCUUUUUCUUAUUCCAGAUAUGAUGAAGCACCGUUAGAAUAUAAGCCCUACCAACAGAAGGAUGGUGCCCUCCUGGCUGUUGGAGCACUUUGUGAUAAACUGAAACAGACCGAGCCCUAUAAAUCUGAAUUGGAACAUAUGUUGAUGCAGCAUGUUUUCCCAGAGUUCCGCAGUCCUGUUGGUCAUCUUAGAGCCAAGGUUUGUUUCAAUUUUUUCUCAUAGGGACAUCUUGAUCUUCUUCUUUCGAUGCUCUUUUCUGAGGUUUCAUAGAGAUAUAUAUAUAGAUACAUUUGCAUCUGAGAGAGUUCUCUUAGUUUUAUACCUUUUUAUAUGGAUUUUAGGCUGCAUGGGUAGCAGGACAAUAUGCCCAUGUAAACUUCUCUGACAAGAAUAAUUUCCUCCAAGCACUGCAUAGCGUUGUUUCUGGGUUGCGUGAUCCGGAACUUCCUGUUCGUGUCGAUUCAGUUUUUGCAUUGAGAUCAUUUGUUGAAGCUUGCAAAGGUAGAUAUUUGAUACUUUUGCUUUGAGUAUUAUUUUAUAAUUUGUAUGAGUUGAUUUUGGAUUAAGCAAGCUAGCAGUUAAGUCUGCAUUUGUAGUAAUCUGGUUUCUAAUUACUACCUAUGUUAUGCCCAUAUACACCUCUUUUUUUGUCAUUAAUUGUAGUGUUGACUGCCUUACUGAUAUGAAGUUGUUUAAAUGCAGAUUUAAAUGAUAUCCGUCCUAUUCUUCCUCAACUACUUGAUGGUAAGUGACAUUUAGUGCUUGUAGUAUCCUAUUAGCAGCUUCUGAUGAUCUGAUGUUUCAACUUUAACUUCUCACUUGGGACACUGCUAUUUACUUUUCUUCUUUUCUAAACUCUCGAAUAUUUUAUAUGAUUAUGUUGAGAAUUCCGUCAAUUCACACAGUACCGAGUUACUUUUUCUCAUUCAAGUGAUGUAGUCAAUAAUUUGCAAUUUCAUUUCCUACAGAGAUUUUUAAACUUAUGAAUGAGGUUGAGAACGAGGACCUUGUUUUUACUCUGGAGACCAUAGUUGACAAGUUUGGGGAGGAGAUGGCGCCAUAUGCUCUUGGAUUGUGUCAGAAUCUGGUAAUGCAUGUUUUCAUCAUUUUUUAAAUUACCAAGUUUCUAAUUUUCUGGACCCGAAACUAUCGUCAUGUCUCUGCUUUCAGGCAGCUGCAUUUUGGAGGUGUAUGAACACCACAGAAGCUGAUGAUGAAGCUGAUGAUCCCGGUGCCCUUGCUGCAGUCGGCUGUUUGCGUGCCAUAAGCACAAUACUUGAAUCAGUUAGCAGGCUUCCUCACUUGUUUGUUCAGGUUGAGCCAACUUUGCUUCCAAUCAUGCAAAGAAUGCUGACAACUGAUGGACAAGGUCUGUACAGUCUCUCUCUCUCAACUGUCCCAAUGAUUAUUUUUAUUUGUUUUAUUUUCUCAAUAGUGAAAUGUACUGUUGCCACCAGAAAUGAGACUGGAUUGAAUAUGCAUUAUAUUAGUUUAUUAAAGAAUCUAAUGUUUAGGUGUGAAAUUUCAAGCUGCUAUAGUAAAGAUACUGUUUUUCCCUAGAAAUUUCAAGUGUUUAUUAGAUUAUUUUGGGCGUGGGCAAGUUGAAGAGGAAGGAAAAUUUUUGCUCUAUCCUUAUUGGCAUGUAAGACCUAACUUUAUCUUUAGAUAUCACCUACUCUUUAGUUAUGUUUAAAUUUAAAUUUUAUAAUCUUGGAUCAAAGAGCAACUUAUGACACCAGUGCAAGUUGGCUUUAGAAUUUUGUCAGACUAUCAGUAAUAGUGGCAAAUGUAGUUAGACUUAGAUCUAGAAUGUGUUCAUGUAGAAUAGGAUAUACCCAUAAACACAUUAAACAUCAGCUAAAAUGGUUAAAAAAACCCCAACUAUAAAAAGUCAACUUUUUUGAUGAGUUAAUAGCUGGCGUGCUCUUUGAUAAGUUAUAGCUGCAUGGUUUAAGUAAACUUAGCUUUGUUGUAAAGAUACCUUAAAAAGUUUAUGUCAUUAAUAUUUUUGGUUAAAGCCACUUGAAUUUUAAAUUUUGUGCUGAGAGAACUUAAAAGUGAGUUGAUAAAAUACAUUAUCAAAUAGUUUAUGGGAUGGCUACUGCAUUUCAUACAUGCCAAAUUUGACUUUUAUAAGAUGGUAUUUGGUCUAAUAUCAUUUUAUAGGGUCAUUUUAUUGAACCUUUUCUUUUUGUACACUUUUGCAGAGGUUUUUGAAGAAGUCUUGGAGAUUGUUUCAUAUAUGACAUUCUUUUCUCCGGCUAUAUCCUUGGAAAUGUGGAGCCUUUGGCCUUUGAUGAUUGAAGCAUUAGCUGAUUGGGCAAUUGACUUCUUUCCAAGUAUGAUUUGAUUUGAAUUGAUAUUUCUUUUGCCUCAUAUCUGAAAGUUUUAUGAUUGUUAAGUAGACUUUUUAUCUUAGCAGUUUAAGCAUUUUCUGCUUAUUUAGUUGUUCGCUGAAAUUUGUCAUGAUCAACAUGACACUAUUUUUCUUUUUAGGAUAUUUGAAAAAUUUCCAUUUAUCCAAAAAGAAGUAGAUGUCUGCUACAAUGCAAAACUUGGGUAAAGCCUUACACAACUAUGCUAGUACCACACUGUAAACAAUUAAUUAUGAUACUAUUUACUCUUUGAAAGUCUGCGUCAAAUAUAACUGAUCAGAAACUUGUUUUUCAUGCAUGUUUGCCUAAGAUCCACAUUGCCAAAUAAAUUGUGAAUUUGUGUCAAAUUUGUUAAUAGAACUAACUGUGUUUAUUAACUUGUAUGUUAAAGCAUAUGUCUUACAAAUCCUAGAGAGUUUUAGUUCAUAAAUCAACCACUGAACUUUGGGAUCAGGUUGCCACUGCAAUAUAGACAUCCAGAAUUUUUUAUGAUAGAAUUUCGAUAGUUCAUUUAUGUUGGUUCUAGUAGGUCCAUAUGAUUACACAAGGUGAGAAGUUUAUACCCAUUUUUUGUUAUUUAAUUUCAAUUUAUCAUUAUUUGUUCUUAUUUCAUCUAUUUUUUUGUGUGUUUCUAAGUAAUAGCUGUUUUCAUGCAGAUAUUUUGGUUCCUUUGGACAACUACAUAUCCAGGGGAACUGCACAUUUUCUUACUUGCAAGGAACCUGACUACCAGCAGAGUCUUUGGAAUAUGAUUUCUUCUGUGAGUCGCAUUUUAGUUAUAAAAAUUGCCUUUUGAUGGGAAACUUUCUAGGAAGAUGAAAAUAAACCAUACAUUCUUCAGUCUUUUUAUCUUGCAAAUUUUUAUAAUACCUUUAUUUCAGUCCCUUUAGUUUAUAAAGCUCUGUUAUUUGCUUUGUCUUUGGCAGAUUAUGGCAGAUAAAAAUUUAGAGGACAAUGAUAUUGAACCAGCCCCAAAGCUGAUUGAAGUAGUGUUUCAAAACUGUAGAGGACAGGUGGAUCACUGGGUUGAGCCAUAUUUGAGAAUUACACUUGAUCGAUUGAAUCGAACGGAGAAACCACGGUUGAAAUGUCUUCUUGUACAAGUGGUAUGGCGUCAAGGCAUAGCUUUAUUCUUUUGCAUGAUGAUGUCAUAUUUUUAUAUGCUCAUCUCAUGUCUUGUAAAUGUUACACAUUUGAUAUUUUGCCUGUUGCUUUUCUUCUAUCAGAAAUACUCUUUUAUUCCUGGAAACAUUUUUGGCCUGUGAUUUAAUAACACGACACUGUUCUUCCUUACCCAGAUUGCCAAUGCAGUCUAUUACAACGCAGCCUUGACACUCAGCAUAUUAAACAAGUUUUCUGUUACAACAGAAGUGUUCAACCUUUGGUUCCAGUUGUUGCAACAAGUUAGAAAGAGUGGUUUACGGGCUAAUUUUAAGCGGUAGUUAGUUUUGUAUUUGCUUUGAUCAUUUUCCAUGUCACUAUGUUUAAGACUUGAGAAUAAUAUUGUUACUUUCACAAUGAACAUUCACACUUCGGGUAUUGUCUUGCUAUGACUCAAUAAGUUAUCUUGCUUCUGUAGGGAACAUGAUAAGAAAGUGUGCUGCUUGGGCCUUACAUCACUUCUUGCACUUCCCCGUGACCAGAUUGGCGGGGAGGCUCUUGGGCGUGUAUUCAGGGCUGCCCUUGAUCUCCUCGUUGCUUACAAGGAUCAAGUUGCAGGUCUCUCUCUCUCUCUCUCUCUAUGUAUAUAUAUGUAUAUUGGGGUGUGUGUCAAUGCGCUUAUACUAGCAUGUUGUGUGUCUGAAUUUGCAUUCUUUUUGAGAUUGUAUCCUUAAAUCCUUCUGUGUUAUUUAUUUAUUUACUUCAUUUGAGUGAGCAGAAGCUGCAAAGGAGGAAGAGGCUGAAGAUGAUGAUGAUAUGGAUGGUUUCCAGACUGAUGAUGACGAGGAUGAUGGUUCUGACAAGGAAAUGGGAGUCGAUGCGGAGGACGAAGAUGAAGCUGAUAGCAUGAGGCUUCAAAAAUUAGCUGCCCAGGUAUGCAUUAUUUUGGUCUUUGAAGGUUAUUUGAUACUUGGCUUGUCAUAAAUAUCACAAAUUGGUAAAUAAGAUGGGAAUGUCUAGCUACUGUAUGGAUAAAGAUGGAAGAUUCUCGAAUGCUGGUACCGAUGACUAGCAUGGCAAGGAGGGCUGGAAUGAUGAACUUUGGAAAUUAAUAAUAAUGCUUUGAUGGGACCUUUUUAACGAGCCUAUUAUAAUAUAUUUCCUUUUUGUAAUCGGUCCUUGGACUUUCCAAUCCUUUAUUUCACUCCAUCUUUGUUUUCUAUAGGCUAAAGCUUUCCGCACAAAUGAUGAUGAUGACGAGGAUGACUCUGAUGAUGACUUUAGUGACGAUGAAGAACUACAGUCACCAAUCGAUGAAGUUGACCCGUUUAUUUUCUUUGUCGAUAUUGUCAAGGGUAAAUGUCGAUUCUCCCUUUAAUAUUGUUUCUGUCUUCUGGUUUUGUUCGAUGUUUCCAUGUCAUUAGCUGAAACGAGGACUUUUUUCUUCCCUUCCCUGAUUUUGAAUCUAGCUAUGCAAGCUUCAGAUCCUAUGAGGUUGCAGAACCUUACACAGACUCUGGAUUUCCAUUAUCAAGCUCUUGCAAAUGGUGUAGCUCAACAUGCUGAACAGAGGAGAGCGGAGAUCGAAAAGGAACAAAUGGAGAAGGCAUCAGUCGCUGCCGCUCCACCAUCAUGAGUUCAGUUUCGAACUCGAUGUUCAUCCAUAAUUUUCAUUCAUUCAGAAAUGGUUAUUUUAUGAAACCAAGAUUUGUUUCCACUUGCAGUCCAUUCAAGUCAUUCAUUGGUUCAUACGGUCUUGAAGGUGAUCAAAACCCCAAAAAGGUCAAGGUUCAAAUCCAUGGAGAUUUUUUGUGUAUAAAGUACUCUUCAUCCGCAAAACACGGGGUUAGGGAACUCCGAGUUUGCCAGUUUUGGCUAGUCUGGUGAGUCCGGCCCAACUCAGCCAUCAGUUUCUGUUUUGCAUCUUUUCACGCUAUCCGUCAAAGUUAUCCCCAGUUAGUUGUUUCCGGAGUCGGAUCUUCUCCCGGGCAUGACUGGUCGAGGACCAUGCAUAUAGUCUCUCUAUAAUAUGCCAUGUUUAAUCAAAUGGCAAAGUUUUUGUGUUUUGCAUUGAUGAUUUUGGUGAAGAAAAUUUUGCCUUUUACCUCAUUUCCCUGUCAGAUAGUGUAUCAAUACCAGGGAAUUUUAUUUUUGUUUGGGAUUAAGAUUUUUGUUUUGUUUUUUGCCCUUUAGAGGGCUACUUUGGUUGCCAAUUUGUAAGAAUAUGAUUCUUUGAUGUUAUGGGAUUAAUGAAAAAGAAUAUAUUCGGAUUUUGAUUGUUUGCAUGUUGUAUUUGUGUUAUUUUUAGUUACUAACGACGCAAUCAAAUAGUAUUAGUAUUUUGGGAAAUUUAGUUCCUUGCAUGGGCACCAGAGAAUAAUUAUUGUCAUUUUGCUACCCACUAUUUUGGCAUGUUAAUGUUCAUUUUCUCUUUCAAGUGAUUAUAUACUUUAUAAUUAUAAUUUUGUAGAUAUAUUCAAUUAAACUGUACAUAUCAAUUCAACUGGGAACUUAUUUUUUGAUCUAUUAGUUUGGUUUUAAAAUCAUCGUCAUUCAGAUUAAAUUUGAGAUUGGUUUAAUAAUGAAUAAUUAUUUGAUACAAAGCUUUUAGAUUUCAUAAUAAUUAUGUAUAUAUGAAAUUUGACAAGUUUCUCAUUUGCUUAUAUAUCUAAUUUUUAUAUUUUCACAUUUUUACUCUUUUUGUAGAAUUUAAAAAAAGUAUUGAAUAAUUUUCUUUUAAAUAUUUUAAUAUAAAAACAUAAAUAACUAAAUGUAUUUAUAUUUAAAUGUUUUCUAUUUAUGAGAAAUGAGUUUCGGGGGCUAUUGUUAAUAGCUAUACGAUGGUGAUUAUUGACGGGAAUGAGUUCCCAUCCUGAAGAAGACAGAUAAGGAAAUUGUAUGAAAUUAUAUACAAGGUUGUGAUAUAAGAAAGAUAAAUGAAUUAAUCUUUCAGUUUUAUUUGGAACUGUAAUAAUUUUAGUUUAUCAAACGCUAUACCUAAUUUGAACGUGCAGCAAAAGAGAGAAAUAAUUUCAGAAAAAAGUUGUAUUUUCAAGUGAACUUAUAUAAAGAAACAAAGAGAAGCAUUCAACAACAACUUUAUUAUUGUAAGUACCAAUCAUACUCCCAAAUUACAAGAAAAUUUAAAAUCAACAAUCAAACACCAAUGCAAACCACACAAGUUUCAACUUCAGAUUAUUACAUGAUAUUUAUUUAAAAUUUUAAAAGUCGGAUAAACUAAAUUACAAUGACAACAACUAACAUCACAAGUAACAAGGUAAAGAUCAAACCUUGUGUUCCACUCUUGAGUUUUCCUACAAAUGAAGUGGUAGGUUUCAAGUAUGAUUACAUCUGAAUUGCUACAUGGGCCAUUCCGACCAAGACUGUAGAGAAUCGGGUGCUACACAAUCCCAGUGGACAAUAUAUUUGCACUCCGACUUUGAGCAUUCAAGAGCCACAUCUUUACAAGGCUUACCACAUUCAUCACAAUCAGGGUAGUAAUACUUCUUCUUCACAAUGGUGAGUGGGUGUGGAUGAUCUGUUUCAUCAUUGAAGCUCUCGAGUUUGAGGAAUGGAUAUUUUCCAAGAACACAAUUAACAUGAAUAGAAGUAUCACAUGUUGCACAAUGAUAAAAUCAACAAUUUGGAUCUCGACUUUUUUCACAGAUAUCACAAUGAUGACUUUUUGAAUAAUUGUUAUCAUCAUGAUUAGUGAGCGAAAAAAGACGCUCAUCGCAUUUGUAACCAGCUGUAUUUGAAAGUGAAAAACAAUCAACAUGUAGCCCAAAAUUGCAAUCCUUACAACGAAGUACUGCCUCUGGUUGACCACAAGCAUUGCAUUUCCCCUUGUGGCCUCUGUAGAAAAAGAGGGGGUGUUCAUGUUUCAAACAUGUUUGAGCACCAGGAGUAAGAGCAAUCACACAUCGGAGACAUAUUUUUUCCUCACAUCCACAACAUUCAUAAGCAAAGGCAUUAGAUAUGUUAUAACAGUGUUGACACUUAAAAGCUUUGUCAGAAAUAAGGGCGAGAGGCUCUUGGCAAUUAUGAUGCCAAACAUUCAUCAUCUUAGGUAAGUCGGCACACGCUUUGUGAAGAAAAAAACCACAUUCUGAACAGUAGUAAAAUGGAUCCGAGAUUGGCAACAUACAUCCCUUGCAAUUAUUUUCAUCUCCCCCAACAAAGGGACUUAACAUUAGAUUAUGCAUAUGCUUGAAAUGCUUUAUUUUUGUAGCUUCUCCAGCAUCGUUCCUCUCAAUAUCACUGAUGGAACUUUCAUUGGGUAUCUCAUCUUCAUUUUCUAGUGAAACUAUUGAAUAUGAGUGUUUAUCCUCUGUCAAACAAUGUACAUGGAAUGUAACAUUGCAAUGUGAACAACAAUAACUACCAUACUCUGGAUUGGCUUCAUCAUGACAAAUGGUGCAGUCUGAACUUCUAAAUUCAUCCGGAAGGAAAUAUUUGUGAAAAAGGAGAUGAUCAUGCCACCUGCUUUUGAUGAUACGUGGCAAUGUAGUGCACCUAUUAUGGACCAUAAUGCUGCAUGGAGAACAUAUAUAGGCAACGUAAAUUCCUUCCAGACCACACGCAUCACAAAUGUACGACACUCGUCUUGAAAAUAGAGUGAAUGUGUGUUGAUGGCGUUUGUCUUCAACAGCAAGAUCAAGUGGUGGUGGUAAACGUUCUAUGUGAAAUACAAGCUUACAAUAUGUACAACCAUAAGCAAAUCCUCUUCGGCUAGUUGCUUUGCAUAUCUUGCAAGAAAGUCUCGCAUUGUUAAAUUGUAAAACAAGAGGAUGUUGAGGAUGGUACAUAAAAUUCAAUUUGAGAGGAAGCUUAGCACAUUUCUCAUGUAAAUUAAAUCCACAAUCAAGAGAAAAAUGUGUAUAAUUUACUAAUGGUUCCCAACACCCAAAGCACAUAUAGCAACAUAAUCACCAUUUUCAGUGGAAAUCAAUGGAUCUUGAAGGGCAACAUGCUCAAGCUCUUUCAAAUUAUUCUCAGCCAUAUUAAGUGUAAAUAAAGCACAUUUAAUAUGCAAGUCAAAAUCGCAAGAGCAGUGAUAAACGAAUUUCAUACAUAUUUCAUAGCAGAAAUUGCAAAUAACGGGAUAUGGUGGCGCUUGCAUAAGAAGAAGAGUAUGGUCGAGGUGAAAAGGGUGAUUAAGCUCCAAAGGUGCCUCAGCACAUACCUUGUGAAGGUAAAACCCACAAUCCUGGGCACAGCUAAAACAUGGAGUUGACACCUUCUCUCCACAACUUGAGCAGUUAGCUACAAUCCGCUGAUCUUCAUUCAAAAGAAGAAGCAAGGGAUGUCGGUGACCAUAGUUCUGUGACUCCAUUUCUCCUUCCUCUUUGGCUUUUUCCGUCGACGUAGGAAGAACAAAAAAACAGAAAGUGAACGUUGGAAGUAAAGUAGAGAUUUGAAAGAGAGAGACUCCAAAACUAUCUUAGUAUAUUGCUUUUAAUCUGUCUUUGCUUUCAUACUUUACUUCAUUAGUUGGUUUCCUUAUAUUUCUUAACUCUUGUUUUUUAAAAAAUAUUUUCUUAAUAAUAAAGUUAAAGAUUAGUAAACAAGAAGACAAACCUUUAUUCUAAAAUUAUAAGGGUAUUUUAAAUAAUAUUACAAAGUAUAGUUCUGUUUAUACAUAAAAAAAUAUUACAAAGUAUUUUAAAUAAUAGAACUAUUUUGGAACGACUUCAAAUUGCAUGGGAAGCUUGUUAUAGACAUUUGGAACUAGAAUGUAACAAAGUAAUAAUAGUUAAACCAAUUUUGGUGGGAGAGGUUGCUGUUAGUAAGAUGACAGAGUUGCAAUUGAUUAUUCAUCUCUUAAAACAUAAUUACAGUGUACAAAUUUGACAUAUUCCUAGACACCAAAAUAAAGUUACUGACCACAUAGUUAAACUAGCGAGUCAUAAUCUUAAUAGUUUGUAGAGGUUUUAAAAACCCUCAGACUCAACUCUAAUGUUGCUGCAUGAAGAUUUGAAUACAUCAUCUCUUACUGUUAAUCAGGAAUUUCAUUGGUUUGUAAUUGUCAUUGGUUGACUGUCCUUUAUACAAAAAAAAAAUACAUUAUUUAGAUACAUGCAUUGUGAUUAUUUGACUUCCCAUUUUCAUAUAUAUAUAUAUUUAUAUAUAUUUAUAAUUCAAUCUUAAUUUAUAAUAGCUAAGAAUGGGACGUAUUGUAGGUUAAUUAUUAAAUUUGAGAAGAAUGGAAAAACUAAAGGAAGAAUAUAAAAAUUUCACUUUAUCCCUUGCUUUGUGGAUUAGUAAUGAAUGUUGAUAUCCAGUCUUUUUGUUAUUGUUGUGUGCCAAGAAACUACAUCUCACAAAUUUAAAUCUCUCUUGCUUAAUAUUGAUUUUUAAUUUUAUGUGUUUCACAAAAAAAAAAAAGAGAGUAUAAAACAUAUUUUGAAGUUUAUAAAUCGAGGUUUAAAUAUUUUAUUUGUAUUUUUUUUUUGACAAAUUUAACGAUCAAAUUCUCUUUAUAGUUUUCUUUCUACAAUUAUAACCACUACCAUUGCUCUUACCUUUCUCAGUUUCAUAUGUCUAUCUUGUUUUUCAAAGUCUGUUUUGAUUUUUUUUUUUAUUGUCAUCUCUUUGUGAUAUCUCAGUUUGUUAAAUUGUAACGUAUUCUCAUCUUACUAAAAUAGUUCUUUACAUUUUUAAUAUAUAAAAAGUUUAAUUUUUUAUUUCUAGUAUGAAUUCUAACAUUAAAAUAAAUUAUAAUUUUUAAUAUAUAAAAAGUUUAAUUUUUUAUUUCUAGUAUGAAUUCUAACAUUAAAAUAAAUUAUAAUUGAAAUCUUAAUUAAUUUCCGAGUUUUUAACUUUUUAAAUUGACAUAUGUAUAUUUAUAUAAUUUUAAAUUACACCAAAGUUUCAAAUCUUUAAAUCAAAGAAUAUCGUGACUUUAAAUGCCUUUAAAAUUUAUUGCAAUUGUGUCAAUUAAAAUUGUUUUCAGAAUUAAAUUGGUUGGAUCAGAAUCAAUUAAGGCACUGGUUUCAAAUAAGGAGUUGAAUAAUUUAAAUUGGGCUACUGGAGCAGUUGAACCUCUUGCAUCGAUUUUUAUUUUAUUUUCAAAGAAAUAUAUUUUUUUAUUUUUUAAUAAUUUAUUUAAUUAAACCGGACAAAUUGAUCAAACUGGGAAUUGAUUUUCUGAUUGAUUUGAACUAUUAAUUUGGUUUUAAAAUCUUUGUUAUUCAUAUUAAAUUCGAAAUUGGUUUAAUUAUGAACAAUUAUUUAAUACAAAGUUUUUAGACUUCGUAAUUAUGUUUGAAAUUUGACAAGUUUCUCAUUGAUUAUAUAUUUAAUUUUUAUAUUUUCACACCUUUAAUCUAUUUGUAGAAUUUUAAAAAAUUUACGGGAUAAUUUUCUUUUAAAUAUUUUAAUAUCAAAACAUAAAUAACUAAAUGUAUUUAUAUUUACAUGUUUUCUAUUCAUGAGAAUGAGUUUUGACGGCUAUUCUCAACAGCCAUACGGUGGUAGUUAUCGAUCAGAAUGAGUUCUGUUUCCAUCCUAGAGAAGACGAGUAAGGAAAUUACAUACAAGGUUGUGAUAUAAGAGAGAUAAAUAAACUAAUCCUCCAAUUUUAUUUGAAACGAUACUAAUUUCAGUUUAUCAAAUGCUAAACCCAAUUUCAAUGUGCAGUAAAAGAGAGAAAUAAUUUCAGAAAAAGUUGUAGUUUCAUGUAAACUUUUAUACAAAAACAAAGAGAAGCAUCCAACAACACCUUUAUUAUUGUAAGUACAAUCACACUCCCAAAUUACAAUAAAUUUUAAAAUUAACAAUCAAACACCAAUGCAAACAUCACAAUAGUUUCAAAUUAUUACAAUGACAUUUAUUUAAAACUUAAAAAGUCAGAAAAAUCAAAUUACAAUGACAACAACUACUAACAUCACAAGUGACAAGGCAAAGAUCAAACCCUAUUUUCCACUCUCAAGUUUUCUGGCAAAUGAAAUGGCUGGUUUCAAAGAUGAUUAGAUCUAAAUUGCUACAUGCCCCACCACAAGGAACACUGUAGAGAAUAGGGUGCUACACAAUUCCAAUGGACAAUAUAUUUGCACUCCGACUUUGAGCAUUCAAGAGCCACACCUUCACAAGGCUUACUGCAUUUAUCAUAAUCAGGGUAGUAAUACUUCUUCACAAUGGUGAGUGGGUGUGGAUGACCUGUUUCUUUAUAGAUGCUCCCGAGUUUGAGGAAUGGAUAUUUUCCAAGAACACAAUCAACAUGAGCAGAAGUAUCGCAUAUUGCACAAUGAUAAAACCAACGAUUUGUAUCUUGACUUUUUUCACAGAUAUCACAAUGAUGACUUUUUGAAUAACUGUUAUCAUCAUGAUCAAUGAGUGAAAGAAGAUGUUCGUCACAAAUGUGACGAGCUGUAAUUGGAAGUGAAAAACAUCCACGAUGUAGCACAAAAUUGCAAUCCUUACAACGAAAUGCCUCAUCUCCACUUGUAUAACCACAAGCAUUGCAUUUCCCAUUGCGCUUUAUGUAGUAAAAGAGGGGGUGUUCAGGUUUCAAACAUGUUCGAGAACCAGGAGUAAGAGCAAUCACACAUCGGAGACAUAUUUUUCGCUUACAUCCACAACAUUCAUAAGCAAAGGCAUUAGAUAUGUCUCAACAUUCUGCACACUUAAAAACCUUGUCUGAAAUAAGGGUGAGAGGCUUUUGGCAAUAAUGAUGCCAAACAUUCUUCAUCCUAGGUAACUCGGCACAUGCUUUAUGAAGAAAAAAAAUCUCAUUCUGAACAGUAGUAAAAUGGAUCCGAGAUUGGCAACAUACACCCAUCGCAACUAUUUUCAUAUCCUCCAACAAAGGGACCUAACAUUAGAUUAUGCUUAUGCUUGAAAUGCUUUAUUUUUGUAGCUUCUCCAGCAUCGUUCCUCUCAAUAACACUGAUGGAACUUUCAUUGGGCAUCUCAUCUUCAUUUUCUAGUGAAACUAUUGAAUAUGAAUAUUUAUCCUUCAAUGCACACUUCACAUGGAAUAUAACAUUGCACUUUGAACAAUCGUAACUACCAUGCUCUGUAUUGACUUCAUCAUGGCAUAUCAUGCAAUCCAAAACCCUAAAAUCUUCUAUGUCAUGGAAAAAUGUAUGAAGAAGGCGAUGGUCAUGCCACUUACUUUUGAUAAUGCGAGGCAAUGAACUGCAAUUUUAAUGGAUUAUAAUGUUGCAUGUACCACAUGUAUAGGCAACAUGAUUUCCUUCAGUGCCACACGCAUCACAAGUGAAUGGAACUUGUCUCAAAAAUAAAGUGAAUGGAUGUUUAUGAUUUGUACUCUCAAUAACUUGUAAUAGUGAUUGUGAUCCACAAUCAAUGUGAACAACAAAGUUACAAGGACAACAACCAUAAACAAAUCCACUUCCCCUUGUUGUCCUUGUUACUUGGCAUAUCUUGCAAGAGAGCCGUUGGCUAUUAAAUUGUAGAACAAGAGGAUGCUUGCGAUGGCACGCAUGAUUCAGUUUGAAAGGAAGCUCAGCGCAUUUUUCAUGUAAAUUAAAUCCACAGUCAGGAGAAAAGUGUGUAUAAUUUGCUAAUGAAUCCCAACACCCAAAGCACUUACCAAGAUAAUCACCAUAUUCAGUGGAAAUCGAAGGAAGUAGAAGGGCAACAUGCUCAAGCUCUUUCAAAUUAUUCUCAGCAAUAUUAAAUGUAAACAAAGCACAUUUAAUAUGAAAGUCCAAUCCGCAAGAGCAAUGAUAAACAAACUUAUCAUCCUCUUUAUCACAAAAAUCACAAAUGUACUCUCCAGAUGAAUAAGGUGCAUUUUGCAUAAGAAGAAGAGGAUGGUCGAGAUGAAAAGGGUGAUUAAGUUCCAAAGGAGCCUCAGCACAUACCUUGUGAAGGUAAAAACCACAAUCCUGGGCACAGCUAAAACAUGGAGUUGACACCUUCUCUCCACACCUUGAGCAGUUAGCUACUAUCCGCUGAUCUUCAUUCAAAAGAAGAAGCAAGGGAUGUCGGUGACCAUAGUUCUGUGACUCCAUCUCUCCUUCCUCUUUGGCUUUUUCCGUCGACGUAGGAAGAACAAAAAAACAGAAACUGAAUGUUGGAAGUAAAGUAGAAAUUUGAAAGAGAGAGAGACUCCAAAACUAUCUUAGUAUAUUGCUUUUAAUCUGUCUUUGCUUUCAUACUUUACUUGAGUUGGUUUCUUUUAUUUCUUUAUAAUUCUGAACUUUUGUUUUCUAAAAAAAUAUUUUCUUAAUAAUAAAGUUAAAGUUAAGUAUAUGACAAACCUUUAUUCUGAAAUUACGAGGGUAUUUUAAAUAAUAUUACAAGUAUUUUUCUGUUUAUAUAUAAAAUAUACAUUAUUUAUUACAUCGCUUUUGUCACAUAUAUUGAUGCAUGCAUUGCGGUUAUUUGGCUUCCCCUUCUUCAUAUAUAUAUAUAUAUAUAUAUAUAUAUAUUUGUUCAUGACUGUAAAUAGCAUAGGUUUAGAGUGAAAGAGGAAUUAUAAUAAAAGAAAACAACUAAAAAAUGUAACACAAAAUCACAUAAUUUUAUACCUUACACUCAAUCUUUAUAAAAGAUAUCUCAGUAAUUUUAAAGCAUGAUUGGAACAUUUUAAAAUAAAAUAUCACACCCACAACCAAAGCAUGACAAACUAAAGGAAUAAUAUAAAAUUUUCACUUUAUUCUUUGCUUGGUGGAUUUGACAAUGAAUAUUGAUAUCCAAUCUUUUUGAUAUUGUUGUGUGCCAAGAAACUACAUCUCACAAAUUUAAAUCUCUCAUAUUAAAUAGUGUGGUUGCUUAAUAUUUAUUUUUAAUUUUAUGUGUUUCACAAAAAGAAAAGUAUAAAACAUAUUUUAUCUUGUAUGAAACAAAUUAAAAAGAUAUUCAAACAUCUGGGUAAGAUUUUCUGACAAUUCUUUGACGAAAUUUGAUAAUUAAAGUAAAACAAAUAUUUGAAAAAGAAAAACCCUAAAUCUAUCUUUAGUAUAUUUCUUUUAACAAGUUUCUUUAGACUAUUUUGAAACUUUGCUCAAGUGAAUGAGUUUCUUAUAAAUGUUUUUAUAAUUCAAGGAGGCUUGAUACUUUGCUUGAGAGAGUGCAUUUUUCAAAGACUUUUUUUCUAUCAAUACAAUAUUAGAAGAUGGAGAAGGGGAUUACAGAAUUUAAAUUAGGUGUCUUUUCUCCGACUAUAUCCUUGGAAAUGUGGAGCCUUUGGCCUUUGAUGAUUGAAGCAUUAGCUGAUUGGCCAAUUCACUUCCUUCCGAGUAUGAUUUGAUUUGAAUUUGAUAUUUCUUUUGCUCAUAUCUGAAUGUUUUGGGAUUUGUUAAGUAGACUUUUAAUCUUAGCAGUUUAAGCAUUUUCUGCUUAUUAUUAUCAACAUAAGCUACGUAGUGACACUAUUUUAAGAAGUAGAUGUCUGCUACAAUGCAAAACUUGGGUAAAGCCUUACAAUCAACUAUGCUAGUACCACACUGUAAACAAUUCAUAGUGAUACUAUUCACUCUUUGAAAAUCUGUGUCAAAUAUAACUGAUCAGAAACUUGUGUUUUAUGCAUGUUUAUAAUACAUUUAUGUCAGUGCCUUUGGUUUAUAAAGCUCUGUUAUUUGCUUUGUCUUUGGCAGAUUAUGGCAGAUAAAAAUUUAGAGGACAAUGAUAUUGAACCAGCCCCAAAGCUGAUUGAAGCAGUGUUUCAAAACAGUAGAGGACAGGUGGAUCACUGGGUUGAGCCGUAUUUGAGAAUCACACUUGAUCGAUUGAAUCGAACGGAGAAACCACGGUUGAAAUGUCAUCUUGUACAAGGGGUAUGGUGUCUGUUGAGCAUUGGCCUGCAAUGCAACAUGUGACCAGCAGCUACUUCAAGCAGACCAGCAAUGUAGCAGAACCGAGAGCAGCAACAGCUUGGUGCAUUUUGUUUUCUCUUUUGUUCAAAUGUAAUUUGCCUAGUUAGUUUGUAACUUGAAACUAAAGCCUGUAGGAUUAGUUUUUUAUUUGUACUUGAUGUAAUGGCUGAUGUAUCAGCUAGCUUUGAUUUGAAUUUCAAUCUUGUAUUAGUUAAGUAUAGGUGGGAGCAGUUACAUUGUUAGGUAACUGUCAAAUUCACUUUGUAACUUACAUAUAAUUUGAUAUUAUCAAUGAAAAUGUAUGUUUUUCAGCUCAAUCUUCUUGUUGUUCAAUUUUCUUUCUCUUUUCAAACUUUUGCUUCGUUUUCUUACUGUCAUUUUUAGCAAACUUAGUUCGUUUUGUGAUUUGUUGCUGCCUUUGUUUCAACAGUGUCGAGGCAUAGCUUUAUUCUUUUGCAAGAUGAUGUCAUAUUUUUAUAUGCUCAUCUCAUGUCUUGUAAAUGUUACACAUUUGAUAUUUUGCCUGUUGCUUUUCUUCUAUCAGAAAUACUCUUUUAUUCCUGGAAAGUGAUUUAAUAACACGACACUGUUCUUCCUUACCCAGAUUGCUAAUGCAGUCUAUUACAAUGCAGCCUUGACACUCAGCAUAUUAAACAAGUUCUCUGUUACAACUGAAGUGUUCAACCUUUGGCUCCAGUUGUUGCAACAUGUUAGAAAGAGUGGUUUACGAGCGAAUUUUAAGCGGUGGGUGGUUUUGUAUUUGCUUUGAUCAUUUUCCAUGUCACUCUGUUUAAGCCUUGGGUAUAAUAUUGUUACUUUUACAAUGAAUUUUCAUACUUCGGCUAUUGUCUUGCUAUGACUCAAUAAGUUAUCUGGCUUCUACAGGGAACAUUAUAAGAAAGUGUGCUUGUACGAGUUAAGAAACAGAUUAGGAUAUCACAGCAGAGUCUUGAGCUAGAAGCUUCAAUGACUUGAUAUGCAACCAAGAAAAUCGGGCUUGAGAAAUCAAGAACAAAUUUCUUGACAAGAACCAAAACAAGAAAGAAUGCUGAAAGAUUCAUCUCUUGAUUGCUGAAACAUUUCAUUACAUAUAAACAAGUAAUUAACUCGUCUGAAAAAUCAAAAGGUUGUCACCUAAACACACCUAACUCCACUAACAUGUCUCGAAACUCAUAAAACAUUACUUGCACACAUGGUUAAGCUGAUUUAUCAAAUCCGUCAGCACCAAAUACAUUAGUUCAAAUGUAACUAAGUAGAAAAACAUUAGAGAAAUACAAAACAGCAGUGUAUUGUUCAGCUGCAACUUGCAUGGCUCGUUCAAAACACUGCAUGAAAGCCACUUCUUAACAGUGCUGCUUGUGCCUUACAUCACUUCUUGCACUUCUCGGUGACCAGAUUGGCGGGGAGGCUCUUGGGCGUGUAUUUAGGGCUGCCCUUCAUCUCCUAGUUGCUUACAAGGAUCAAGUUGCAGGUCUCUCUCUCUCUCUAUAUAUAUAUAUAUGGGUGUCUGUGUGUGUGUGUCAAUGCGCUUAUACUAGCAUGCUGUGUGUCUGAAUUUUGAAUCUUUUUUAGAUUGAAUCCUUAAAUCCUUCCGUGUUAUUUAUUUUUUACUUCAUUUGAGUGAGCAGAAGCUGCAAAGGAGUAAAAGGUUGAAGAUGAUGAUGAUAUGGAUGGUUUCCAGACUGAUGAUGACGAUGAUGUAUUGAAGUUGGCAUGCAUGCAGCAGAUAAAGCAACCAGGGAGCAGACAAUGCAACAUAAGUUAUGCGGAUGAAGUAUGAAGAACAAGCUGCUGUAGUAUUUCCGGAUGAAGUGCAUGCAGUUAUUGAAGUUGAUGCUAUUGUUCAGUUUCAGUUUCAUUUUGUUACUUUAAGUAAUAUUCUGUAACUUAGUUAAUUGUGCAAGUUGAUCUGCAAGUUGCAAUGUGUAAGGAGUGCAAUUAAGUCUAAAAAUAGUAAAUAUGUCAAAGCUGACCAGCUUAUGACUGGUUUAUGUAUUGGCAGUAUGCCAUCUUUUUAAUCAAUGAAUUUCAAUAGAAAUCAUUCAGAAAAAAUACUUUCUCAAUUUUUUCUUUCAUAAUUCAAACCAGAUUCUGCUCUAUUGCUUAAAAACCUUCAUACUUAUUGUCAAAGUUUUGUCGUUCUUCAUCCUGAUACAGUACUUUGUUGUUUAAAUCCAGACUGAAGUUUAUACUUCAUCCGGACAAAAUGUGUCAAAAAUCCAACAUGAUGAUGGUUCUGAUGGGAGUCGACGCGGAGGACGAAGGUGCAGCUGAUAGCAUGAGGCUUCAAAAAUUAGCUGCCCAGGCAUGCAUUAUUUUGGUCUUUGAAGGUUAUUUGAUACUUGGCUCGUCAUAAAUAUCACAAACUGGUAAAUAAGAUGGGAAUGUCUAGCUACUAUAUGGAUAAAGAUGGAAGAUUCUCGAAUGUUGGUACCGAUGACUAGCAUGGCAAGGAGGGCUGGAAUGAUGAACUUUGGAAAUUAAUAGUAAUGCUUCGAUGGGACCUUUUUAACGAGCCUAUUAUAAUAUAUUUCCUUUUUGUAAUUGGUCCUUUGACUUUCCAAUCCUUUAUUUCACUCCAUCUUUGUUUUCUAUAGGCGAAAGCUUUCCGCACAAAUAACGAUGAUGACGAGGAUGACUCUGAUGAUGACUUUAGUGACGAUGAAGAAAUACAGUCACCAAUUGAUGUCGAUAUUGUUUGCAGUCCAUUCAAGUCAUUCAUUGGUUCAUACGGUUUUGAAGGUGAUCAAAACCCCAAAAAGGUCAAGUUCCAAAUCCAUGGAGAUUUUUUGUGUAUAAAGUACUCUUCAUCCGCAAAACACAGGGUUAGGGAACUCCGAGUUUGCCAGUUUUGGCUAGUCUGGUGAGUCCGUCCCAACUCAUCCAUCAGUUUCUGUUUUGCAUCUUUUCACACUAUCCGUCAAAGUUAUUCCCAAUUAGUUGUUUCCGGGUCGGAUCUUCUCCCGGGGAUGACUGGUCUGGGGCCAUGCAUACAGUCUAUAGUAUGCCAUGUUUAAUCAAAUGGCAAAAUUUUUGUGUUUUGCAUUGAUGAUUUUGGUGAAGAAAAUUUUGCCUUUUACCUCAUUUCCCUGCCAGGUAUAGUGUAUCAAUACCAGGGAAUUUUAUUUUUGUUUGGGAUUAAGAUUUAUGUUUUGUUUUUUUGCCCUUUAGAGGGCUACUUUGGUUGCCAAUUUGUAAGAAUAUGAUUCUUUUAUGUUAUGGGAUUAAUGAAAAAGAAUAUAUUCGGAUUUUGAUUGUUUGCAUGUAUUUGUGUUAUUUUUAGUUACUACCGACGCAAUCAAUAGUAUUAGUAUUUUGGGAAAUAUAGUUCAUUGCAUGGGCACCUUUGAGAAUAAUUAUUGUCAAUUUUAAUGCCCACUAUUUUGGCAUGUUUAUGUUCAUUUUCUCUUUCAAGUAAUUAUGUACUUUGUAAUUAUACUUUUGUGGGCCAAUAUUUUUUUUUAGUUUUUGAUAAUUUAUUCAAUUAAACUGGACAAAUCAAUCCAAUCGGGAACUUAUUCUUUGAUCUAUCGGUUUAGUUUUAAAAUCUUUGUUAUUCAGAUUAAAUUCGCGAUUGGUUUAAUAAUGAAUAAUUAUUUGAUACGAAACUUUUAGAUUUCAUAAUAAUUAUGUUUGAAAUUUGACAAGUUUCUCAUUUGCUUAUAUAUCUAAUUUUUAUAUUUUCAAAUCUUUACUCUACUCUAUUUGUUGAAUUUAAAAAAUUUACAUGAUAAUUUUCUUUUAAAUAUUUUAAUAUAAAAACAUAAUAUCUAAAUGUAUUUAUAUUUAAAUGUUUUCUAUUCAUGAGAAUGAGUUCCGGCAGCUAUUCUUAAUAGCUAUACGAUGGUAGUUAUCGAUGAGAAUGAGUUCCCAUCCCGAAGAAGAUGAGUAAGGAAACUACAUACAAGGUUGUGAUAUAAGAGAGAUAAAUGAACUAAUCCUUCAACUUUAUUUGGAACUGUAAUAAUUUUAGUUUAUUAAACGCUAAACCUAAUUUGAAUGUGCAACAAAAGAGAGAAAUAAUUUUAGAAAAAAAGUUCUAUUUUCAAGUAAGCUUAUAUAAAGAAACAAAGAGAAGCAUUCAACAAUAGCUUUAUUAUUGUAAGUACAAUCACACUCCCAAAUUACAAGAAAAGCUAAAAUCAACAAUCAAACACCAAUGCAAACCACACAAGUUUCAACUCCAGAUUAUUACAUAAUAUUUAUUUAAAAUUUAAAAAGUCAGAUAAACCAAAUUAUAAUGAAAACUAAAAUCACAAGUAAUAAGGUAAAGAUCAAACCUUGUGUUCCACUCUUGAGUUUUUCUGCAAAUGAAGUGGUAAGUUUCAAAUAUGAUUACAUCUGAAUUACUACAUGGGCCAUUCCGACCAAGACUGUAGAGAAUCGGGUGCUACACAAUCCCAGUGGACAAUAUAUUUACACUCCGACUUUGAGCAUUCAAGAGCCACAUCUUCACAAGGCUCACCACAUUCAUCACAACCAGGGUAGUAAUACUUCUUCUUCACAAUGGUAAGUGGGUGUGGAUGAUCUGUUUCUUCAUAGAUGCUCCCAAGUUUGAGGUAUGGAUAACUUCCAAGAACACAACCAACAUGAGCAGAAGUAUCACAUGUUGCACAAUGAUAAAACCAAUGAUUUGGAUCUCGACUUUUUUCACAGAUAUCACAAUGAUAACUUUUUGAAUAACUGUUAUCAUCAUGAUCAGUGAGUGAAAGAAGAUGCUCAUCGCAUUUGUGACGAGCUGUAAUUGGAAGUGAAAAACAUUCAAGAUGUAGUACAAAAUUGCAAUCCUUACAACAAAAUGCCCCAUAUCCACUUGUUGUAUAACCACAAGCAUUGCACUGGCCUUUGUAGUCUCUGUAUAAAAAGAGGGGGUGUUCAUGUCUCAAACAUGUUCGAGCACCAGGAGUAAGAGCAAUCACACAUCGGAGACAUAUUUUUCCCUCACAUCCACAACAUUCAUAAGCAAAGGCAGUAGAUAUGUUAUUACAGUAUUGACACUCAAAAGUUUUGUCAGAAAUAAGGACGAGAGGCUCUUGGUUAGAAUGAUGCCAAACAUUCAUCAUCUUUGGUAACUCGGCACACGCUUUAUGAAGAAAAAAAACACAUUUUGAACAGUAGUAAAAUGGAUCCGAGAUUGGCAACAUACACCCAUCGCAACUAUUUUCAUAUCCUCCAACAAAAGGACUUAACAUUAGAUUAUGCAUAUGCUUGAAAUGCUUUUUUUUUGUAGCUUCUCCGGCAUCGUUCCUCUCAAUAACACUGAUGGAACUUUCAUUGGGCAUCUCAUCUUCAUUCUCUAGUGAAACUAUUGAAUAUGAGCUUUUAUCCUCUGUCACACAAUGCACAUGGAAUGUAACAUUGCAUUGUGAACAACAAUAACUACCAUACUCUGGAUUGGCUUCAUCAUGACAAAUGAUGCAAUCUAAACUUCUAAAUUCAUCCGAAAGGAAAUAUUUGUGAAAAAUGUGAUGAUCAUGCCAACUGCUUUUGAUGAUACGCGACAAUGUAGUGCACCUUCUAUGGACCAUAAUUCUGCAUGUAGAACAUAUAUAGGCAACGUAAAUUCCUUCAAGACUGCACGCAUCACAAAAGUACGGCACUCGUCUCAGAAGUGGAAUGAAUGUGUGUUGAUGGCUUUUGUCUUCAGCAGCAAGAUCAAGUGGUGGUGGUAAACAUAUUGUGUGAAAUACAAGCUUACAAUAUGUACAACCAUAAACAAAUCCUCUUUGGGUACUUGCUUUGCAUAUCUUGCAAGAAAGUCUCUCAUUGUUAAAUUGUAAAACAAGAGAGUGUUGGCAAUGGUACGUAGAAUUCAAUUUGAGAGGAAGCUUAGCACAUUUCUCAUGUAAAUUAAAUCCACAAUCAGGAGAAAAAUGUUUAUAAUUUGCUAAUGGUUCCCAACACAGAAAGCACACUGCAACAUAAUCACCGAUUUCAGUGGAAAUAAAUGGAUCUUGAAGGGCAACAUGCUCAAGCUCUUUCAAAUUAUUCUCAGCGAUAUUAAGCGUUAAUAAAGCACAUUUAAUAUGAAAGUCCAAAUUGCAAGAGCAGUGAUAAGCAAAUUUCUCACAUCUUUCAUUACAGAAAUCGCAAAACACGAAAGAAUGUUGUGACCUUUGCAUAAGAAGAAGAGGCUGAUGGGGAUGAAAAGGAUGAUUAAGCUCCAAAGGUGCCUUAGCACAUACCUUGUGAAGGUAAAACCCACAAUCCUCGGCACAGCUAAAACAUGGGGUUGACACCUUUGUUGAAAAAUCAAAUAAGGUAAGUGUUGAAAAGUCAAAAAUGGUUUGAGGUGCAAUUGGCACCGAAAGAAAAAAAUAGUUGGCAAGUUGUUUAAAGUUGAAAGGGAUAAUUGCAAUUUUGGUCCCUAAUUUUUUAGGCCAUUUGCAAGUUAGUCCCUAAACCUCAACUAUAAAUAGGCCUAACCAUUUCUCAUUUCAACCAUCCCAACCAAUCUUUCUAUCUUAGUUUUCUCUCUUCUCCCAUUUGAGAAUUCUUAAGGAAUUCUAUUUGUUUGUAAUAUUUUACAGAUAGUAAAGUUAUCAUCUGGUGUUAGUGCCUGAGGACGUAGGUAUAAUUUACCGAACCUCGUUAAAACUCUUGUGUUUUUUCUUGUCCUAUUUUUCUUUCAAUAUUUGAGGGUAUAAUAGUAGUAUUUAAUUGUGCUAUUAAAUUACUAUAGAAGGGAUAUUCUGACUAAGGAAAGACUUGGUAUUUAAGAGAUCCUUGUGAUCUACCUCUCUUCCCUGGGAAUUGAACUUUGUGUGAUUUUUUAGUACAAUAAUUUACACGCUUCCGACCCUAUUGGAAUAACAAGUGGUAUCAAGAGCCGAAGGUUAAUCGUAGUAUGCUCUGUGGUUGCAGUUUAAACUGAUCUUCCACAUCAGAAAAGAUUUCCUUAGGUAUAUUGAAAGAUUAUGGAGAAAACGGUCGGUGUAGGAGCUUCAACAUCGUCCAUGUGGACAAGACCGACAAUUGCAAAUGCAAGAUUGGCCGUGGAGAUCUUUGAUGGCACGGGCCAUUUUGGUAUGUGGAAAAGUAAGGUUCUAGAUGCCCUUUUUCAGCAGGGUCUAGACAUUGCCAUUGAUGAAGAGAAACCAGAUGAUGUACAGGAGAAAGAUUAGAAGGCGAUCAAUCGGUUGGCAUGUGGCACAAUUCGAUCAUGCCUUUCUUGAGAGCAGAGGUAUGCUUUUUCAAAGGAGACUUCUGCAAAUAAGUUGUGGGUGGCACUUGAAGAAAUUUUUUUGAAGAAAAACAGUCAAAAUAAGCUCCACUUGAAGAAAAGACUGUUUCGCUUCACUUACGUCCCAAGUACCACAAUGAAUAAUCACAUCACCAAAUUUAAUCAGUUAGUCACUGAUUUGUUAAAUAUGGAUGAGACAUUCAAAGAUGAAGAUUUGGCUUUGAUGCUGUUGGGGUCACUUCCUGAGGAGUUUGAGUUCCUAGAAACUACUCUACUUCAUGGCAGGAGUGAUAUAUCUCUGAGCGAAGUCUGUGCGGCCUUAUAUAGUUAUGAACAGAGAAAGAAGGACAAACAGAAAUACUCAAUCAGAGAUACAGAAGCUUUAGUAGUCCGAGGUCGUUCAUACACUCAGAAGAAAACUUAGAAAGGGAGAUCAAAGUCAAAGUCCAGACUCGGGAAAGAUGAAUGUGCCUUUUGUCAUGAGAAAGGCUACUGGAAGAAAAAUUGUCCAAAGCUGAAGAAUAAGGGAAAAGCUACUGUAGAUGCUUGUGUUGCAAAGCAUGAUACCAGUGACUCUGAACUAUCACUGGUUGCAUCAUCAUCGUCGUUCCAUUCAGAUGAGUGGAUAUUGGAUUCGGGUUGUACCUAUCAUAUGUCCCCUAACCGGGAGUGGUUCUCUGAUUUAGUAGAACUAAAUGGAGGAGUUGUUUAUAUGGGCAAUGACAAUGCCUGUAAAACUGUUGGGAUAGGUUCAAUCCAAUUAAAGAAUAAAGAUGGAUCAACCAGAGUUCUGACUGAUGUUCGGUACGUGCCCAGUUUGAAGAAAAAUCUCAUCUCAUUGGGAGCCUUGGAAUCCAAUGGUUCAGUUGUUACUAUGAGAGAUGGGAUUUUGAAAGUGACAUCUGGCGCACUUGUGAUAUUGAAGGGCAUCAGAAAAAAUAACUUGUAUUACUACCAAGGUAGUACAGUUAUUGGAGCAGUCGCUGCAGCUUCCAGUAACAAAGAAUUGGACUCAAUGCAGUUGUGGCAUAUGAAGUUGGGACAUGCCAGCGAAAAAUCCUUGUAAAUUCUGGCAAAGCAAGGAUUAUUGAAAGGUGCAAAGGCUUGCAAAUUAAAAUUUUGCGAGCAUUGUGUUCUGGGAAAGAAAAAGAGAGUGAAAUUCAGCACUGCUAUCCAUAAUACAAAAGGUAUUUUGGAAUAUGUUCACUCAGAUGUGUGGGGGCCUUCCAAAACACCUUCGUUGGGAGGAAAACACUACUUUGUUACUUUUGUUGAUGACUUUUCCAGAAGAGUUUGGGUGUAUACCAUGAAAACUAAGGAUGAAGUGCUUGGAGUUUUUCUUAAAUGGAAAACUAUGAUCGAAAACCAGACUGGCAAGAAAAUCAAGCGGCUUAGGACGGACAAUGGAGGGGAAUAUAGAAGUGAUCCGUUCUUCGAUGUGUGCCAAGAGUAUGGUAUUGUUCGACACUUCACAGUUAGAGAUACACCACAACAGAAUGGAGUGGCAGAGCGUAUGAAUCGAACAUUGCUGGAGAAAGUUCGAUGUAUGUUGUCCAAUGCUGGGUUGGGCAAGCAAUUUUGGGCUGAGGCUGUGACAUACGCUGGCUAUCUUGUUAAUCGUUUGCCAUCAUCUGCAUUAGAAAGAAAAACUCCUAUGGAGGUAUGGUCUGGAAAACCGACUACAGAUUAUGAUUCCUUACAUGUGUUUGGAUCCACUGCAUAUUACCAUGUGAAGGAGUCAAAGUUAGAUCCGAGAGCAAAGAAAUCUCUCUUUAUGGGAAUCACUUCUGGAGUGAAGGGAUUUUGUCUUUGGUGCUUAGACACAAAGAAAAUCAUCUGUAGCAGAGAUGUUACCUUUGAUGAAUUUGCCAUAUUGAAAAAGGUAGCAGAUAAAGAUAUUCAAACGAGCGAUACUCCACAGCAGGUAGAGUGUACUCCAAAACAGGUGAAGUUUGAGCAGAUGGGGAUUUGCCCAGUUAAUAAGUCUAAUUCUCCAGCCACAAUGGAAGAAUUAGAGGUUGAAGAGGUUCUGACCCAAGAACCAUUAAGUACACCAGAACCAGUUGCAGUUGCAAGGCCACGGAGAGAAAUUCGUAAACCUGCUCGAUUUACUGAUAUGGUGGCCUAUGCCCUUCCCGUUGUUGAUGAUGAUAUUCCUGUCACUUAUCAAGAAGCAAUGCAAAGCUUAGAAAGUGACAAAUGGAAAUACGCCAUGGAUGAAGAAAUGCAAUCUCUCCUGAAGAACAAUACUUGGGAGUUGGCGUAAUUACCGAAAGGUAAAAGGGCAAUAGGAUGCAAGUGGGUAUUCGCAAAGAAAGAUGGAUCUCCUAGCAAGAAAGAUGAUCGCUACAAGGCAAGAUUGGUAGCUAAAAGCUACGCUCAGAAGGAGGGAAUUGACUACAAUGAUGUAUUUUCCCCUGUUGUGAAGCAUUCCUCCAUUAGAAUUUUGUUGGCCUUGGUAGCACAGUUGAACUUGGAGCUAGCUCAACUUGAUGUUAAGACGGCUUUCUUGCAUGGUGAGUUAGAAGAGGAGAUCUAUAUGACUCAGCCCGAAGGAUACAAAGAUGCUGGUGGUAGAAAUUGGGUUUGUAAGCUGAACAAAUCGCUAUAUGGAUUGAAGCAAUCCCCGAGGCAGUGGUACAAGCGAUUUGAUAGCUUUAUGAGAAGGCAGAAGUACACAAGAAGCAAAUAUGACAAUUGUGUGUAUUUACAGAAGCUGCAUAACGGAUCUUUCAUUUAUUUACUCUUGUAUGUUGAUGAUAUGUUAAUCGCUUCGAAGAGCCAAAAAGAGAUAGAUAAGCUGAAGGCUCAGUUGAAUCAAGAGUUCGAGAUGAAAGAUCUAGGUGAGGCCAAGAAGAUUCUCGGCAUGGAGAUAAAUAGAGAUAGACAGAGAGGCAAGCUUUGUUUGAAUCAGAAGCAAUAUCUGAAAAAGGUAUUACAAUGUUUUGGUGUAAAUGAAAACACAAAACAUGUAAGUACCCCACUUGCUUCUCAUUUGAAACUUAGUGCUCAAUUAUCUCCGAAAACUGAAGAAGAAAGAGAAUAUAUGGCAAAAGUCCCAUAUGCUAAUGCAGUUGGGAGUUUGAUGUAUGCGAUGGUGUGUACGCGGCCUGACAUUUCACAAGCUGUUGGAGUUGUGAGCAGGUAUAUGCAUGAUCCUGGAAAAGGACAUUGGCAAGCUGUGAAAUGGAUUCUACGGUAUCUUCGAAAAAUCGUAGAUGUUGGUUUAAUUUUUGAACAGGAUGAAGCACUUGGUCAGUUUGUAGUUGGAUAUGUUGAUUCCGACUUUGCUGGUGAUUUAGAUAAACGUCGUUCAACUACGGGGUAUCUGUUUACUCUUGCGAAAGCCCUAGUGAGUUGAAAGUCUACCUUACAGUCUACAGUAGCUGUGUCUACUACAGAGGCAGAAUAUAUGGCAGUUAUAGAAGCUGUUAAGGAGGCUAUUUGGCUUAAUGGAUUGUUAAAAGACUUCGGAGUUGUUCAAAGUCACAUUAGUCUAUAUUGUGACAGUCAGAGCGCUAUUCAUUUAGCGAAAAAUCAAGUCUAUCAUUCAAGAACCAAGCAUAUUGACGUAAGAUAUCACUUUGUGCGGGAAGUUUUUGAAAAAGGAAAAAUUCUACUUCAAAAGAUUCCGACAGCAGAUAAUCCCGCAGAUAUGAUGACCAAGGUGGUAACAACAAUCAAGUUUAAUCAUUGUUUGAACUUGAUUAACAUCCUGAGAAUUUGAGCACCUUCAGGUGUAUGGCGCUCGAGAGCGCAUUUGGAGGCACUACAAAAGAUAACUUUAUCGAAUUUGGGGAGUUGAAGGAAAUGUGUGAAGAUGUGAUUAUCCUAAUCAAAUCUUCAAGGUGGAGAUUGUUGAAAAAUCAAAUAAGGUAAGUGUUGAAAAGUCAAAAAUGGUGGGAGGUGCAAUUGGCACCGAAAGAAAAAAAUAGUUGGCAAGUUGUUUAAAGUUGAAAGGGAUAAUUGCAAUUUUGGUCCUUAAUUUUUUAAGCCAUUUGCAAGUUAGUCCCUAAACCUCAACUAUAAAUAGGCCUAACCAUUUCUCAUUUCAACCAUCCCAACCAAUCUUUCUCUCUUAGUUUUCUCUCUUCUCCCAUUUGAGAAUUCUUAAGGAAUUCUAUUUGUUUGUAAUAUUUUAGAGAUAGUAAAGUUAUCAUCUGGUGUUAGUGCCCGAGGACGUAGGUAUAAUUUACCGAACCUCGUUAAAACUCUUGUGUUCUUUCUUGUCCUAUUUUUCUUUCAGUAUUUGAGGGUAUAAUAGUAGUAUUUAAUUGUGCUAUUAAAUUACCAUAGAAGGGAUAUUCUGACUAAGGAAAGACUUGGUAUUUAAGAGAUCCUUGUGAUCCACCUCUCUUCCCUGGGAAUUGAACUUUGUGUGAUUUUUUAGUACAAUAAUUUACACGCUUCCGACCCUAUUGGAAUAACAACCUUCUCGCCACACCUUGAGUAGUUAGCUACAAUCAGCAGCUGAUCUUGAUUCAAAAGAAGAAGCAGGGGAUGUUGGUGACCAUAAUUCUGUGACUCCUCCAUUUCUCCUUCCUCUUUGGUUUUUUCCGUCGAUGUAGCAAGAAAGAAAAAAACAGAAAGUGAAUGUUGGAAGUAGAGUAGAAAUUUGAAAGAGAGAGACUACAAAACUAUCUUAGUAUGUUGCUUUUAGGGGUGAGCAUUCGAUUGAAUCGAAUCGAAUCAAAAAUUUUCGAGUUAAUCGAGUUUUCGAAUCUUAUUUUAUCAUCCUAACUUUAUUUGAAAUUUUCUUGAAUCGAGUCGAGCAAGAUGGAAUUCGAAUCGAAUCGAAUCGAAUCGAAUCGAAUAUAUUUGUUCGAGUUAAAUUUUAAAAAAUAAUUUUGGGUCCUUGUAACCACUGUCACCCAUCGUAAUAAAAUUUAUCUACCUUAAUUAAAAUUUUUAUUAACUUUCAUCACCUCAUAAUUUAUUUAUUAAUAUUUUAUAUACGGGUUAGCUUCUUUGUUUGUUUAGUUGCUUCAAUUAUCUUCAGAUUCUUGUUACUAUGUAUUUUCGAAUUAAAAAACAUAUUAGAUGUAAAAAUGUGAUUUUUUAAUAAAAAUGAUUUUAAAGAUAAAAUGUGAAAUUGAUACCAAUAUAAAUUUUUAACAUGAAUAAUUAAUGGCAUAAUUAAUAAUUUAAUUUUAAUAUCAAUAUUCAAUAUGACUAAACAAUCCAAUAAUAUAAAUAAUAUAAAAUGUGAAAUUUAAUUUAAUAAUAUAAAUAGUAUCUAAAUAAAAUUAUUACUAUUUAUGUUUAGUGAUUUUUUUUAGAUAAUUUUAAUUUUUUAUUUGAGAGUAAAGGGUGAGAAGUAAAAAUUUAGGGGGAAAAUAAAAAGUUUUGGGAGAUAAAAGUUUUGAGGGAAAGUAAAUAGGGGAGAGUAAAAUUUUGGAGGGAAAAUAUUAAAAAAAAUUGGGGGUUGAUUUGGGGUAGAUGGGAGGUGGGAUUGAAAGGAAGUAAAAAUUUUAAGAGGAAAGUGGGAGGGAGUAAAAAUUAUGGGGGAAAAGAAAAAGUUUUGAGUGUUUUUGGGAAUAAAAUUUUGAGAAAAAGUAAAUGGGAGAGUAAAAUUUUAGUGGGAAAUGGAUUUUGGGUAGAUUGGGGGGUAAGGAUUGAAUGGGAGUAAAAGUUUUGGGGGGAAAGUGGGAAGGAGUAAAAGUUUUAAGGGAAAAAUAAAAAGGUUUGGGAGUUUGGGGUAAAAAUGUAAAAUAUUAUAGUUUGAUAUUCGAAUUAUUCGAAUUAUUCGAGUUAUUCGAAUUCGAAAACUCAACUCGAUUCGAACUCUAAAUUCGAAAAAAAUUCGAGUUGACUCGAAUAACUCGAUUCGUUUAACUCGAAAUUCGAAUUUUUUAUUUUAUUUUUUCGAGUCGAAUCGAGUUUUGCUCACCCCUAGUUGCUUUUAAUCUGUCUUUGCUUUCAUACUUUACUUUUAUUUGUUUAUAUUUCUAACUUUCAAAAAAAAUAUUUUCUUAAUAAUAAAGUUGAAGUAUAAGACAAACCAUUAUUGUAAAAUUAUGAGGGUAUUUUAAAUAAUAUUACAAGUAUUUUGAUGUUUAUAUAUUAUUUAUUACAUAUAUUGGUGCAUGCAUUUUCAUAAUUCAAUCUUAAUUUAUAAUAACUAAGAAUGGGAUGUCAUGGAUUUGGGUGGUUUCUACCUUAACUAUUAAAUUUGAGAACAAUGAAAAAAUUAAAGAAAAAUACAAAAUUUUCACUUUAUUCCUUGCUUUGUGGAUUAGAUAAUGAAUAUUGGUAUCCAAUCUUUCUUGGUUUUGUUGUGUGCCCAUAAAUUUAAAUGUCCCACAUUGAUUUUAAUUUUAUGUGUUUUACAGAAAGAAAACUAUAAAAAAAUAGUUUUUCCUGUGAAAUAAAUUAAAAAUUUUAGAAUAAAUUAUUAAAAUAGUCACUUUUGUUUAUAUCAAGUUACAUUUUAAUCAUUUAUGUUUGAAAUGUUACGUUUUAGUCACUUACAUUAACAUAUUGUAACAUUUUAGUCACUGAGUUGUUAAUUGCUGUUAAUGGUAUAACAGUAAGAUGACGUGGCACAUUAAAUCAUUAUUUCAAAUGAAAAUUUUAGGUUAAAUUAUACAAUUGGUCCCAUAUUUUUUCGUUUUGAGCAAUUUAAAGUUUUUUUCUUUUAUAUUCUUUAAACUUUCCUUUUUUCCCCCUUAGUUUUCCUACCUUCUUCAUCUCUUUUAGCAUAAAUUUUUUUUAUAUUUUCCAUUUGUUGAACUUUUUUCUAUUAAUGAAAAAAGAAAAGGCGAAAGCUGAAACCAAAAUAAAACUUAGUUCGCAUAUUCUCACCCCACAAUUACGAACCCUCAUCAUCCAUUAUCACUUCAACAAACAAAAUUUGGAUCUCUCAAUGACCUAGUCCACAAACUCACCUCACUCAGAGACCUUACCAAUCAUGACUUAUGGUCGUCCACCCUCAACAAAGUUUCCUGAGCCCAUUCCCUAAAUCUCCUAACCAACUCCCACGACCACCUUAUCUAGCUAUCUUACCUACAAAAUUCUCACCCUCUUCAAACUAUGUUGUUUCAUGAAUUUUUCAAACGAGCUCUACACUCUCAAUGACUAAAAUGACCACCAUACGAAACUUUGGUUCCACGCUACCUUUCUCUCUUCAGUUCAUCCAUGCUCGGUUUUCAAUCAAGCUUGCUUGGAAAUAUCCAAGAAUGUUUAGAUCAAUUUUAUCAUUUGCUUAUUUUUAUUCAUCAGAAAAAAAAAGGAAAGGAAUAAUCUUCACGCUUUUGUAAAAGUUUGAAAAUGGAAAAAAUUUAUUUUGAAUAUAAAGAAUUCAAUUUAUGUUUAGAUUUGAUUAAUGAUAUGAUUUUUUAUAUUGAUUAGUUAGACCCAAUUUUAGUUUCAAAAUUAGGUUAUAUUCAUAUCAAGAUUUAAUUAAGAAGGAUUGAUAUUCGAUUUUCAGUGAAAUUCAAUUUAAAAAACAUGUGAAAGAAACAAUGACUUGGUUUAUUUGGCAGGUAAAGAUUAUGUUUCUGCUGUGAAAAUAUAAUAAGAGAGAAAAAUAAAGGGGGAAGAAAAAAAGAGAAAUAAAGAAAUAAAAAGAAAAAAAUAAAUUGUUCAAAAAAUAAAAGUAUAGGGACUAGUUUUAAUAAAUGAAAAACAUAGAAAAAUUAUAUUAAAAGAAAUGGAGAUAGGAGAAAAUAGGGGGAGAAGAAGAAGAGAAUGAAAACACAAAAGAAAAAGGAAAGUUUAAAGAACAUAAAAUUAAAUUAAAUUGCUUAAAACGAAAAAAAUAUAGGGACUAAUUGUAUAAUUUAACCUAAAAUUUUCAUUUGAAAUGAUGAUUUAACGUGCCACGUCAGCUUACCAUUACAUCGUUAACGACAAUUAAUGCUCAGUGACUAAAAUGUUAUAACACGAUAACAUGAACAACUAAAAUUUAACAUUUCAAAUAUAAGUGACUAAAAUGCAACCUGAGAUAAACAAAAAUGACUAUUCUGAUAAUUUACCUAAAAUUUUAUUUAAUUCUCUUUAUACAUUGUUGAUAAUUUCAUAAAAUAAAUUAUAAAUUUUCAAACAUCUAUUAAAAUUUUCUGGUAAUUCCUUGACAAAAUUCGAUAACUAAAGUAUAGCGAAUAUUUGAAAAAGAAAAACCCUAAAUCUAUCUUUAGUACAUUUCUUUUAACAAGUUUCUUCGGGCUACCUUCAUGCUUUGCUUGAGUGAGUGCAUCUACCAAUGAUUUUUUUUUAUAUCAAUACAAGACUAGAGGAUUGAGAAGGGAUGACAUAUAAGAGCUUUAAUCACUAUUCCAAACAUGUCCAACUCUAUUAAAUAUUUUAAAUUAAAAAAUAAAAAUACAUUUAAUAAAUUUAAAAUUCCCACAAAACUUUUUUUAGAAAAACAAUAAACUAUUCCUGGAUUUAAUUGAGCUAAUAACAAAUACAAUAAUAUUUUUAGUGGACAUACAUUGAAGAUGAGAUAAAGUAACUUAGAUUCUUUAGCAAUGUUAACCAAAUUUGCCCAUCAACUCACCACUUGAUGAACAAAGCUAGAGAACAUAUGCAACAAUGAGUUAACCUCUUAAACAUCUGUUUCAAAUCCAAAGUUUGUACCAUUCAUCUAUGUUCAAACCACACAUAUUUCAUCUUUAGAUUAUUACAUAACAUUUAUUUAAAAUUUAAAAAUUAAGAAAAACCUAAUUACAAUGACGACAACAACUAAUAUCACAAAUAACAAGAUAAAGAUCAAACCCUAUUUUUCAAUAUUGAGUUUUCUUACAAAUGAAGUGACAUGUUUCAAAUAUAUUUGCGCAAGGGCCACUUCCACCAACUCAGUAGAGAAACGGGUGCUACACAAUUUGUGGACAGUAUAUUUGCACUCCAACUUUAAACAUUCAAGAGCUAUAUCUUCACAAGGCCAACCACAUUUAUCACAAUCAGGGUAAUCAUACUUCUUCUUCACAAGGGUGAGUAGGUGGGGAUGAUUUUUUUCUUCAUAGAUGCUCCCGAGUUUGAGUAAUGGAUAUGUUCCAAGAACACAACCAACAUGAGAAGAAGCAUCGCAUUUUGCACAAUGAUAAAACCAACUGUUUGGGUCUUGACUUUCUUCAUAGAUAUCACAAUGAUGAUUUUCUAAAUAGUUGUUAUCAUCAUAAUCAGUGAGUGAAAGAAUAUGCUUAUCGCAUUUGUGACGAGCUGUAAUUGGAAGUGAAAAACAUUCAAGAUGUAGUACAAAAUUGCAAUCCUUACAACAAAAUGCCCCAUCUCCCUUUGUUGUAUAACCGCAAGCAUUGCAGUACUGGCCUUUGUGGUCUCCGCAGAAAAAGAGGGGGUGUUCAUGUUUCAAACAUGUUCGAGCACCAGGAGUAAGAGCAAUCACACAUCGGAGACAUAUCUUACUCUCACAUUCACUACUUUCAUAAGCAAAGGAAUUAGAUAUUUGCCAACAUUGUUCACACCAAAAACCUUGUACGAAAUAAGUGCAAGAGGUUCUCGGCAACGAUGAUGCCAAACAUUCUUCAUCUUAGGUAACUCGGCACACGCUUUAUGAAGAAAAAAAACACAUUCUGUACAAUAGUAAAAUGGAUCCGUGAUUGGCAACAUACACCCUUCACAACUAUUUUCAUAUCCUCCAACAAAGGGACCUAACAUUAGAUUAUGCAUAUGCAUGAAAUGCGUUACUUUUGUAGCUUCUUCAGCAUUGUUCCUCUCAAUAACAAUGAUGGAACUUUCAUUGGGCAUCUCAUCUUCAUUUUCUACUAUUUCAUAUGAAUUUUUAUCCUUCAUUGCACACUUCACAUGGAAUAUAACGUCACACUUUGAACAAUAGUAAUUACCAUGCUCUGUAUUGACUUCAUUAUAGCAUAUUAUGCAAUCCAAAACUCUAAAAUCUUCUGUGUGAUGGAAAUAUUUGUGAAAAAUGCGAUGAUCAUGCCACUUGCUUUUGAUGAUGCGUGGCAAUGAAGUGCACUUUUUAUGGACCAUAAUGUUGCAUGUACAACAUAUGUAGGAAGCAUAACUUCCUUCAAUACCACAUGCAUCACAAAUGAAUGAUGAUCCUCUCGGAAACAAACUGAAAGGAUGUUCAUGCCUUUUAUCUUCAACAACAAGAUCUAAAGCUGCUGAUACACAUUCAAAGUGAGCAGCAAACUUACAAGGUGAACAACCAUAAAUAAAUCCUAAACCUUUUCCACUGGUUUCUCCGCAUAUCUUGCAAGAGAACUGUUCGCUAUUAAAUUGUAGAACAAGAGAAUGCUUGCGAUGGCACACAAGGUUCAGUUUGAAAGAAAGCUCGGCGCAUUUCUUAUGUAAAUUAAAUCCAUAGUCAAGAGAAAAGUAUGUAUAAUUUGCUAAUGGUUCCCAACACCAAAAGCAUUUAGAAACAUCUUCAAGUUCUUCAUCACCACUUUUAGUGGAAAUCAAUGGAUGUUGAAGGGCAACAUGCUCAAGCUCUUUCAAAUGAUUUUCAGCAAUAUUAAAUGUAAAUAGAGCACAUUUAAUAUGAAAGUCCAAUUCGCACGAGCAGUGAUAUACAAACUUGUCACCACUUUGACGGUAUAAAGCGCAAAUGUACUCUCCAGGUGAAUUAUAAGGUGGGUUUUCCAUAAGAACAAGAGGAUGGUCGUGAUGAAAAGGGUGAUUAAGCUCCAAAGGUGCCUCAGCACAUGCCUUGUGAAGGUAAAACCCACAAUCCUGGGCACAGCUAAAACAUGGAGUUGACACCUUCUCGCCACACCUUGAUCAGCUGAUCUUCAUUCAAAAGAAGCAAGGGAUGUUGGUGACCAUAAUUCAGUGGCUCCUCCAUUUCUCCUUCCCCUUUGGUUUUUUCCGUCGACGUAGCAAGAAAGAAAAAAAACUGAAACUCAAUUUUUGAAGUGAAGUACUAAUUUGAAAGAAAGAGACUCCAAAACUAUCCUAGUAUAUUGCUUUUAUUCUGUCUUUGCUUUCGUACCUUACUUUAGUUGGUUUCUUUUAUUUGUUUAUAUUUCUUAACUUUUUCAUAUGAAUUUUUAUCCUUCAUUGCACACUUCACAUGGAAUAUAACGUCACACUUUGAACAAUAGUAAUUACCAUGCUCUGUAUUGACUUCAUUAUAGCAUAUUAUGCAAUCCAAAACUCUAAAAUCUUCUGUGUGAUGGAAAUAUUUGUGAAAAAUGCGAUGAUCAUGCCACUUGCUUUUGAUGAUGCGUGGCAAUGAAGUGCACUUUUUAUGGACCAUAAUGUUGCAUGUACAACAUAUGUAGGAAGCAUAACUUCCUUCAAUACCACAUGCAUCACAAAUGAAUGAUGAUCCUCUCGGAAACAAACUGAAAGGAUGUUCAUGCCUUUUAUCUUCAACAACAAGAUCUAAAGCUGCUGAUACACAUUCAAAGUGAGCAGCAAACUUACAAGGUGAACAACCAUAAAUAAAUCCUAAACCUUUUCCACUGGUUUCUCCGCAUAUCUUGCAAGAGAACUGUUCGCUAUUAAAUUGUAGAACAAGAGAAUGCUUGCGAUGGCACACAAGGUUCAGUUUGAAAGAAAGCUCGGCGCAUUUCUUAUGUAAAUUAAAUCCAUAGUCAAGAGAAAAGUAUGUAUAAUUUGCUAAUGGUUCCCAACACCAAAAGCAUUUAGAAACAUCUUCAAGUUCUUCAUCACCACUUUUAGUGGAAAUCAAUGGAUGUUGAAGGGCAACAUGCUCAAGCUCUUUCAAAUGAUUUUCAGCAAUAUUAAAUGUAAAUAGAGCACAUUUAAUAUGAAAGUCCAAUUCGCACGAGCAGUGAUAUACAAACUUGUCACCACUUUGACGGUAUAAAGCGCAAAUGUACUCUCCAGGUGAAUUAUAAGGUGGGUUUUCCAUAAGAACAAGAGGAUGGUCGUGAUGAAAAGGGUGAUUAAGCUCCAAAGGUGCCUCAGCACAUGCCUUGUGAAGGUAAAACCCACAAUCCUGGGCACAGCUAAAACAUGGAGUUGACACCUUCUCGCCACACCUUGAUCAGCUGAUCUUCAUUCAAAAGAAGCAAGGGAUGUUGGUGACCAUAAUUCAGUGGCUCCUCCAUUUCUCCUUCCCCUUUGGUUUUUUCCGUCGACGUAGCAAGAAAGAAAAAAAACUGAAACUCAAUUUUUGAAGUGAAGUACUAAUUUGAAAGAAAGAGACUCCAAAACUAUCCUAGUAUAUUGCUUUUAUUCUGUCUUUGCUUUCGUACCUUACUUUAGUUGGUUUCUUUUAUUUGUUUAUAUUUCUUAACUUUUUCAUAUAAAUUUUAUUUUCUUAAUAAUAAAGUUAAAGAUUAGUAAAGUACAAGACAAACCUUUAUUGUAAAAUUAUGAGGGCAUUUUCUAUAAUAUUACAAGUAUUUUGAUGUUUAUAUAUUAUUUAUUACAUGGAUUUUGUUGUUUUGUGCUAAGAAAGUACAUGUCACAAAUUUAGUUGUGUUGGUUGCUCAAUAUUGAUUUGUAAUUUUAUGUGUUUCAUAAAAAUAAAAGUAUAAAUAAAAUAUUUUAUUCAACAAAUUAAAAUACUUUAUUUAAUUCUCUUUAUACAUUGUUGAUAAUUUCAUAAAAUUUAUUAUGAAUUUUUAAACAUAUGUUAAGAUUCCCUAAGAAAGUUAAAAACAAAAGUAUAGCGAAUAUCUAAAAAAGAAAAACCCCCAAAUCUAUCUUUAGUAUAUUUCCUUUAACGAGUUUCUUUAUACUACCUUAAUACUUUGCUUGAGUGAGUGGAUUUCUUAUAAAUGUUUUUAUAAUUCAAUGAGGCUUGAUACUUUGUUUGGGUGAGUGUAUUUUAUCAAAAAUAUUUUUUUUACCAAUACAAUAUUAGAGGAUUGAGAAGAGGAUGACGGAGUUUAAAUCACGUCUAGGUGUGAGACAAGAGCUUUAAUUUGAACAUAUAUUGAAGAUGAGAUAAAGUAACUUAAAUUCCUUAGCAAUGUUAGCCAAAUUUGCCCAUCAACUCACCAAUUGGUGAACAAAGCUAGAGAACAUAUGCAACAAUGAGUAAACCUCUUAAGCAACUGUUUCAAAUCCAAACUUUUCUUUUUAAAUUUGGGCCAAGGUUAAGGAAAGGCUUGGGGUUGCAAAGUUUGUACCUUCAAUAAUACUUUCAUGGCAACGAAGCUGUGCUCAUGACUGUUAAUAACAUAACUUUGCUCUCUUAAUUGUCUAAACAAUCUUUGCUUUUAGCCUUCACUAGAUUUCAAAAACAUGCAACAUUAAGAAAAUCAAGCAUUGACCCUAAAUCUUCUGUUUCGAGCCAUAUUGCUUCGACUCUUUCAUUUUACAUGAAAUAUUUAUCCGGCAUAUAGGGGUAUGAAUAUGUUUAUGUUAAACUCGUACUCAUAUUUAUCGUUCAUAUUCAUAUUCGAAUAAGUUUAAAGUGAAAAGAGGAAUGAAAAAAGGUAUAGUGAAAGCACUGAAAAUAAAAGUAGUUACGAUACCACAUUUAUAAUUUUCUUUAUUUUCAAAGUUAUUUAGCAACACUAAGGUUUAUUUACGUAGUUUAAUUUUCUUAUUCUGUGGAGUCUAGGUUAGUGGGUCAUUUUAUUAUCUUUAAUCACAAAUACAACAAAUAAUUCAUACUCUAUCGCUCCUCAAGUAUUGAGAUCUCACUUUUAUACCGAAAAACUAGAACACUCAUCUCCAAAAUCUCCCUAAAAACUUAGGAAGUAAACACUCAACAAUAUUUACAAUAACAGUUUGCACUCUCUUACAAAAACAAUUUCUCAAUAAAUAUAUUAAAGUGCUCUCAAUAAGCUCUCAUAUAAAACCUUGACAAGCAUAUAUCAAUUUUGGUUUACUAACAUAAAAUUUAAGUGAAUACAAAAUAACUCCUUAAAAAUAGCUAUUACAACAUAAACAUCUAAAGCACAAUCAAUCAAAUAUAUGCUCAACAAAAUUAACAACACAAUCUCGAUUAAAUCUUCACAUUUUAAGGAUUGAAUCUUCAAAUGCCAAGGAUUAGUUUCUAUAUAUGGACCAUAUUAUUUUCAAUAUAACAACACAUUAAAAGUCUAAAUUUUUUCUUCAUUAAAUUGCCAAACCAAAGAAGGUAAAUUAUUAAACUACCUCAAUGACAGCCUACCGUGAACACUAUCAAAUGUCACUCAGAUUCAUUAUUUACAUUUUACCUCAACAACCUUGAAUCAUAAAAAUAUAGAUACAACAAAAUCACUAACAAUUACAAUAAAAGAAAAUAACUAAAAAAAAUGUAAUAGAAGACGUCCCAAGCAUAAUUUUAUACCCUACACUCAAUCUUUGUUGCAAAAGAUUUCUCAGUAACUCCAGUAGCAGUAGAUCGGAACAAAAACCAAAACUUGUUGACAUUAUUUUAUUUUAUUUUAUUUUAAUAUUUAAUAAUUAUAUACACAUUUUUUACUUAUUGAAAUUUUUUAUAUAAUAAUCUUAACAUUAUUUUAAUGUUUACAUUAGAGUAAUAUUAUAUAUUUAGUAUAAGUUUACUUUUUUAAUGUAUUCUAAAUUACAUAAUAUAUAAAAAUAACUUAAUAUAAAGUAUUAUAAACUUAAAUUGGGCCGAGCUCGGGCUUUGAAUGUUCAAAUCCAAGCCCAACCCAUAUUUUAAAUGGGCCUAAUUUUUUUACCUAUUACCAUUUUUUAGGCCUAGUAUUUUUGUCAAAACCCUUUCAAAUUUCGGGUGAACCUUUGGGCCUAGGUGAGUAGCCUGACCCAUGAACAUGUCUAGUACUUUGUCUCCAAAAUCCAUUAAAAUCUAGUAAUAAAGGUCAUUACAAAUCUCAACCCUUCAUCUCCUCUCUAAACCUAAAAAAUCCAUACUGGUAGAGUUUAGGUUUAGAUUUGUUGCACUUACACCUAUUUUCUAUUGGUUUUUUGGGGGAUUUGGGACGUGAGGUGAAGGAAUAGAGAAGAAAAAAGUGGGAAAAGAGAGGAAAGAAAAGAAGAAUAAUUCAAUAAUAAUUGUAGUCAAAACUAGAGAAUAUGCUUUAAAAUUUUGGAUCAUUGAGUUUCUAGGUUUGAGUUCGGUUAGGUAUUUUUAUGCUUGUGUAGAUUUAAUAACAAUUACAAUUAUUUAAUUAUUUAUUUCAUAGAUAAAUUUCAACUACUUACUAUAUAAAUUCUAUACAAAUCUUAUAAUAAACACAAUAACAUAAUUGUUCAAUUCUUAAAUAAAUCCAUUAUUAUUUAUUCCAUUCUUUCACUUACUAAUUGGUAUAUCUUUCCUUAAUUUAUUCACAAUUCAAUAUCAAUAAACUAUAUUCAACUAUGCACUUAUCAAUCAUAUUCCAUUUUAAUCCAUUUCAAUAACAGUUAAUUUCAUUUAUAUCAUAUCAACUUACUAUCCCUUAUAGCUUUAACUAUAUACACACGACUCAUAUAUCUCAAAUCACAUUUCAAUUCAUCAAGUGGCAUCAUAUAUCAUCAAUUCGGACUCCAAUCAUUUCAUGAACCUUUGAUUCAUGUUUUCAAUUUCAUAUCUAAAUUUUCAACUCGUUUCAUUUCAAUAGCUUGAUCAAUCAAAUUUAUUCGAUUUAUCUUUUCACUUAUUUACCCUUAUUAACAAAAUUCGGACCUUGGCGGAUACACGGAUCCAAUCAAUCACACCAGUUUGGCACUCGUGCCUCGUCGGAUAGUUAGAAGCAAAGUUGACACCCAAUGUCUCAUCGGCCUAGCCGAAGAGAGUUGGUACCCAAUGCCUCAUCGAAUCUAUCCGAAGAAAUAUAAUGACACCCAGUGUCUCAUCGACUCGAGGUCGAAGUAUCCCUGAACUCUUCCAAUCCUAUGGCAUGCCAACUAUAUCCGACCUAGCCCGAUACUGUUAAUAGGGUAUUUGAUUCACUUUCUCAAUUCAAUAAUUCUUUCAUCAAUAUACCAUUCUAAUAAUCACAUAUAUUCACACAUUUUCAUAAUUUCUUACAUUUUCAUUCAAUUCAACAAAUAUAUUUCAAUUAUUCAUAUUAAUUUAUAAUUCAAUACAAUUCAAUUCACUUUUCAAUAUCAAAUAUUCAAAUAUCACAAAUCUCAUAUAUUCAUAUCAAUUUCCUCAUAUUUCCAAUCAAUAUAAAUUCAAUAAAUUCAUUGCAUACCAUAAUCAAUCCAUUUCAAUUGUAAAACAUCAUAAUUCUAACACUAACAAUUGCCAUAUGUAUAUAAAUAUAACAAAUAAUGACUAAGUUCAGAUUAUAGAAAUACAAACCAUGUUUUCUCGAGCUAACUCCCGUUGUCUUUGCCAUUUUUUCUUGCUUAGCUGAGAUUUCCCGAGACAACAUUAGCAAUUAAACUUUAAAGCUUCAAACCUUCAAUUUUCCCUUUUCUUUCUUUCCUUUCUUUUUCUCGUUCUUUCUCCCCUGUUUCACGUUUGCCUAUUCUGUUUCUUUCCUUUUUAUUUCUUUCAUUUACUUUGUAUUGUUUUAUAUAUAUAAUAUAAUAAGUUAAUAAAUAUCUAUUUAAUAAUCACUAUUUAUUUUACAUUUAUAUAUAUUUUUAUUAUUACACAUGUCACAAAUUUUACCAUACAUUUGUCAUACCUUUAUUUAUUUAUUUCAUAAAAAUAUUAUAAUAUAAUUAUUUAAUUAAUAAAUAUCUUUUAUAAAUAAUAAAUGUAUAAGCCCAAUUUGACCCGGACUAAACCCAACAAGCCCAAAACAAAAAAUUAAACCUACCCAACAGGCCCACUAAAAACCCUAAGCCCACUAAACCAGCCCAAAACCUUAACACACAAAACAAAACAAAAAAAACCCUAAAUUAACAUAGCUAGCCGCUGCCCUCUUCUGACACCACCCACCGCCACCUGCUCCACCACCUAGGUCACUGUCACCACUUGCACCUGCAAAAAGAAGGAAAAGACAGUAAAAAAAAAUGAAACAAGUUGUAAAUGGCUAUAAAAAGCCAAAUCUAAAACCAUUGUAACAUUCGGCAACUUUUGGAUAAAUAAAAAGAAGCAUUCGAUUUUUUUUAAGAGCAAAAAUAGCAAUUCCAACAAUAUCAAAGUAAGAGAAUAGCAUCAAAUCAAACCCAAUAUCAGAAAUCGGAGAACCGAAAGUACCAAAACCUAAGGUGAUCUUAACUUUAUUUUCGUUUUGUAUUCGGGUCCAUUUUCUCACGUAUAUAUAUAUUAAAAACAUAUAAAAAUAAAAAAAAAUAAAAAGAAAGAAAAAAGUACAUUUUGGAAUUCCACGGUGGCCGGCGACGGUGGCCGGCGGCGAUGUCACGGAGUCUCCUCGCCAGAUUCUGGCAUUGGCCAGUGAGAAAAUGAAGGAGAGCCCACCUUUUUUUUCUAAAAACCCUAAAAAGUGAUUUUUUGGGGUGAAAAGUGGCUUAUAUACAGUGAUAAAACGGCAUUGUUUUCAUUGGCCUCCCCAGACGCCAAAACGACGUCGUUUUGGGGAGGCCGACCCGAUCCGACCCUACCCGCCCUAGCCAAGGAUCCGUGUGUUUUUUUUACGGAAGGGCUAUUUGCACGUUUAGCCCUUCCGCUUUUUUUAUAAUUAUGCAAUUGAGUUUUGAUUCUUUUUAAUUUUGACCCCGAAAUCUAUUGGAAGUUCAAUUUGGGCCUUAUUUGAACGGUGUCAUUUAGGAGGGCCGGGUUAUUUUCUCCUUUAGGCCCGCCUGGUUGUUCGCGUGUUUAAAUCAGUCACAUUCUCCUUUAUUUCUUUUUAAAUCUACCCCAAAACUUUGUUUUUAGAUUCACUUUCGUCCUUAUCAUUACUUUUGUUGUUUUAUUAUAUUAUUACUAUUAUUAUUAUACUUGUAUUUAUAUUUAUUUUAUUCUAAUACCAUUAUUUUUACUACUUCUAUUAUUAUUAUUUUUCAUACAUAUAUAUUAUUAUUUAUAUUAUUACUAUUAUUAACGCUCUUAUUGUUACUAUUAUUAAUCCUUUUACAUUACUAUUAUUGUUACUAUUAUUACUAUCUUUUUCGUUUAUUUUUGUUAAUAUUAUUAUUAUGAUCUUAUUUUAUUGCUAUUAUCAUUUCUUUAAAAUUAUUGUUACUAUUAUUCUUUUACCAUUUAAUACAUAUUAUUAUUAUUAUUAAUGUAUGUUUUUAUUAUGUAUGUAUAUAUAUAUAUUUAUAUAUAGUAUUAUUUUUAAUUACAUUAUUUUAAUAUUAUUAUAUUAUAUUUGCUUUUUGUAUUUCAUUAUUAUUACUAGUACUAUUAUCAAUAUCAUCAUUAUUAAUAUAUAUAUACAUGUGUAUUUUUCAUGUUCAUAUUAGUAUUUUCUACUAUUAUUACAAAUAUAUUAUUUCUUUUAUUAUAUUAUUAGAACAUUUUUUCUUUUAUCGUGAAUAUUAUUGUUAUUUUUAUUUUAAUAGUUAAUUGUAUCAUCGUUUGUAUUAUUUACAAAUUUCUAUUGCAAAUGAUAUUAUUAUUUUUUCAUGUUUUUAAUUAAUUUCAAUAAAUAAGGCAACAUAUCAAUUUCAACACUAAGUCGCUGAUUUCAUCGCUAUGUUGGGUGAAUAUCAUCGGCUCGUGUUAAAAACGAUACGUCCUUCUAAAAAACCAAAAAUUUCAAAUUCUCGUAUUCCAAUCGGAUCGCGAUUAAAUAUUAAAUUGAACUUAUAUUUUUGAGAAUUAAGACAACGUGUGUUUAACAAGAUACCAAUUUUGAGCGUCGCGAGGGUGCUAAUACCUUCCUUGUGCGUAACCUAUUUUUCUCUGAAUCUUCGCAUAGACCCAAAUUCGGCCUUCAUUUUUGUUCAAAAAUAAAUUUUCUUUUUCAAAAAAAAAAAGAAUUUAUUAGGUGUCCGAUCACACAAAGAAAAAGAUCAGUGGCGACUCCUUUUCUUUUUAAAACCGAAAUUCCAUUUUCAAAUAAUCGCCUCAAUUAGCGACCAACGUGAAAUUUUACGUCGUUACAAUAAAUAUCUACUAAUAAUUAAAAAUACAUAUUACAAAUGUAUGUAUUCAAUUUAUUACACAUGUAUUUUUUAAUUACUACACAUUUGUCACUAUUUUAAUUUAUUUCAUAAUAUAAUAUAAUAUUAAUAAUAAUUAAUAAUUAUAACAAUAAUUUAAUAUUUAAAUAAAUAUCUAUUUAUUACCAAAUCCUUGUAUUACAAAUGCGUAUAUUUUUAUUUAUACACUUAUAUCAAAUCAUUUUCAUACUCUUGUCUUUCUUUUAUUUAUUUUAUUUACCAUGCAAUUGUCAAAAUAAUAUUAUAAUAUAAUUAACAUAAUUUACAAUAAAAUAAUAAUAUAAUCUACAAAAAAUCUAGGAUUUUAUCAUGCUAUGCCGCCUCAUCUAAUGAGAUAGGCAUAAUUGCCUAUUUGGUCCUUUUUAUUUUCUAUUAAUCUACAAUUCAAUUUUCAUCCUUUAUUCAAUUUAGUCAUUUUUCCUAAUUUCUCUUAAUUAAGCUAAAUUCACUUAAUUAAAGCCUAGUUAAUUACUCAAUUAAAUUCGUAGUUAUUUUUAAUAAAUAUUUUCUAAUCCAUUUUUCAGAAACGGAGACCCGAAAAUACAUUUUUCUGAUAACAUUAAAAUUCGGGUCGUUAUAGCUGCUAUAUAUGUUUGAAUUGUCAUUGAAUUAGAUAUGACAUGAAUUGUUUGAUUGUGAACUUGAGAAUGUGUAGUGAUCAAUGAGAUAGUAGAAUUCCCGUUGAGGCCUUAGGAAGUAAACCGGAUAUUUAUGCCGCAACAUUUGGAUCAUGUAAGUGAGCUAGUGUAAGACAUGUCUGGGACAUUUAUCGGCCACAUUAUGAGAGCCAAUGUAAGACCACGUCUAGGACAUGGCAUCGGCAUUAAGACGAGUGCUAGUGUAAGACAUGUCUGGGACAUGAAUCAAGAUGAGUGCUAGUGUAAGACAUGUCUGGGACAUGUAUCGGCCUCGAGAUGUAAGCUAGUGUAAGACAUGUCUGGGAUAUGCAUCGGCUACAAGAUGUGUCAGUGUAAGACUAUGUCUGGGACAUGGCAGCGGCACGGAUAUGCUAAAGCUAGUGUAAGACCAUGUCUAGGAUAUAGCAUCAGCCACGAUGAUGAUAGCCAGAGUAAGACCAUGUCCGGGACAUGGCUUCGGCAACUUAUCCCAUGGUUGAGGCUUAUGGAAUAUCCGGUAAUAUUCCGAAUGGUUCAACGGUAAAAGUUAUGAUUUUGAGUUAAUAAGGAAAGUAUAAUACCGUGUUGUGAGUGAUACAGGUACCUAAUUGGUAUGUAUGAGAUAUGAGCUCUAUAUAUAUGUUUGUGAUUUGUACGGACGGUAAUGAGUAAGUUAUACUUAUGCCUACUUUGGUAUUAUGAGCAUGGUGAUUGCUGAUAUAUUGUUGUUGUAUAUUACUUAUAUGCAACUUACUAAGCUUUUAUGCUUACUCCCUUUUCCUUUCCUUUUCCUUUUCCUUUCCAUUUCCUUACAGUGCUGCCUAACUAGCUCAAGGAUCACCGGAAGUCAGAGAUAUCAAUCACACUAUCAACCGAAGCAUUCAGUAUAGUUGGAUUUAUAUUUUUGAAUAUGGCAUGUAUAGGGAUUAGACUUUAUUAUUUUGUGUCUUUGAGAAUUGGCCAAAUGUAAUGACUCGAGUUGGAAAUCUUUUAUUUUGUACUAAGCUUUGAAUGAUGGCUAACAUUCAUUUUCAGUUUAUAAAAGAUACAUUUCCAUGGUUGAAUAAGUACUAAUGUGGUUGAAUGGGCUAUAUGAAUUGUGUUUAUUUUGGUAUUGUUUAGUAUUUGUAUGAAACUAGGUAUGUAAGGGUGGCAAUGAGGCUUGGUAAAUAGCCUUAUAUUGUCCACACGGGUAGACACACGGGCGUGUGUCUAGGCCGUGUGUGACACACGGCCAGCCCCAUGGGCGUGUUGUUCAGCUGUGUGUCCUCUGCACGUGAAAUUUACAAGUUAGUAUGCAUGGUAGUAAACACACGGGUAGAGACACGGCCAUGUGUCUCAGCCGUGUGAAGGACACGGCCUAGCACACGGGCGUGUACCUUGGCCGUGUGACAUUCUGGAGUUGCUGACGUCAGAAACAGAAUGUCCAGGUUUUUGCACACGGGCUAGGACACGGGCAUGUCAUAGCCGUGUGAUGGACACGGGUCAGGCACACGAGCGUGUGCCAGGCUGUGUGAAAACCCUUGUAGGUGUAAAUUAGAAAUAAAUUCCACACGGGUAAAGGACACGGGCAUGUCCCUAGGUGCUUAGGCCGUGUGAGCCACACAGGCUACUAGAACGGGCGUGUUCCCUAUUUUAAAGGCAAAAUUUUUAUAGUUGGUUUAAGGACCCGGCAUGGUCCCAAAUAAAUUUUAAUGAUCUAUUUGGGGCUCGUAGGCCCAUAAUAAGAAGUUUAAAAUAGAAAUUGAAAAGUUUAUAAUUGGUACAAAGUCUUGGUGACUCGAGAUAGUUAGUGUGCAUGAGAUUAAGUUUGGUAAUGCCUUGUACUCUGCCCUGGUGUAGGUUACGGGAAUCGGGUGUUACAUAAAUGAACUAAUCUUUCAAUUUUAUUUGGAACUGUAGUAAUUUUAGUUUAUCAAAUGCUAAACCUAAUUUGAAUGUGCAGUAAAAGAGAAAUAAUUUCAUAAAAAAGUUGUAUUUUCAAGUAAACUUAUAUAAAGAAACAAAGAGAAGCAUUCGACAACAGCUUUAUUAUUGUAAGUACAAUCACACUCUCAAAUUACAAGAAAAUUUAAAAUCAACAAUCAAACACCAAUGCAACCCACACAAGUUUCAACUCUAGAUUAUUACAUGAUAUUUAUUUAAAACUUAAAAAGUCGGAUAAACCAAAUUAUAAUGACAACAACAACUAACAUCACAAGUAACAAGGUAAAGAUCAAACCCUGUGUUCCACUCUUAAGUUUUCCUGCAAAUGAAGUGGUAGGUUUCAAAUAUGAUUACAUCUAAAAUUGCUACAUGGACCAUUCAAACCAUAAAGAAUCAGGUGCUACACAAUCCCAAUGGACAAUAUAUUUGCACUCCGACUUAGAGCAUUCAAGAGCCACAUCUUCACAAGGGUUACUGCAUUCAUCACAAUCAGGGUAGUAAUACUUCUUCUUCACAAUGGUCAGUGGGUGUGGAUGACAUGUUUCUUCAUAGAUUAUGCUCCCGAGUUUGAGGAAUGGAUAGUUUCCAAGAACACAAUUAACAUGAGCCGAAGUAUCGCAUGUUGCACAAUGAUAAAACCGACGAUUUGGAUCUCGACUUUCUUCACAGAUAUCACAAUGAUGACUUUUUGAAUAAUUGUUAUCAUCAUGAUCAGUGAGUAAAAGAAUAUGCUCAUCGCAUUUGUGACGAGCUGUAAUUGGAAGUGAAAAACAUCCAGCAUGUAGCACAAAAUUACAAUCCUUACAACAAAAUGCAUUCCAUGUAGCCUUACCACAAGCAUUGCAUUUUCGCUCCUGAUCUCUGUAGAAAAAGAGGGGGUGUUCAUGUUUCAAACAUGUUUGAGCACCAGGAGUAAGAGCAACCACACAUCGGAGACAUACUUUAUUCUCACAUCUACAACAUUCAUAAGCAAAGGCAUUAGAUACUUCACUACAUAAUCCACACUUAAAAACCUUGUCUGAAAUAAGGGUGAGAGGCUCUUGGCAAAGAUGAUACCAAACAUUCUUCAUCUUAAGCAACUCGGCACAUGCUUUAUGAAGAAAAAAACCACAUUCUGAACAAUAGUAAAAUGGAUCCGAGAUUGGUAACAUACACCCAUCGCAACUAUUUUCAUAUCCUCUAACAAAGGGACCUAACAUUAGAUUAUGCAUAUGCUUGAAAUGCUUUACUUUUUCAGCUUCUCCAGUAUCGUUCCACUCAAUAACACUGAUGGAACUUUCAUUGGGCAUCUCAUCUUCAUUUUCUACUAUUUCAUAUGAAUUUUUAUCCUUCAUUGCACACUUCACAUGGAAUGUAAUAUUGCAAUGUGAACAACAAUAACUACCAUGCUCUGGAUCUACUUCAUCAUGACAAAUGAUGCAGUCUGAACUUCCAAAUUCAUCCGGAAGGAGAUAUUUGUGAAAAAGGCGAUGAUCAUGCCACUUGCUUUUGAUGAUGCGUGGCAAUGAAGUGCACUUUUUAUGGACCAUAAUGUUGCAUGUACAACAUAUGUAGGCAACAUAGAUUCCUUCGGUACCACAUGCAUCACAAAUGAAUGAUGAUGGUCUUCGAAACAAAUUGAAUGGAUGUUCAUGGCUUUUUUCUUUAACAGUAAAAUCAAAAGAUGUUGACACACAUUCAAUGUGAACAACAAACUUACAAGGAGAGCAACCAUAAACAAAUCCUCUUCUCGUUGUUACUUGGCAUAUCUUGCAAGAGAGCCGUUCCCUAUUAAAUUGUAGAACAAGAGGAUGCUUACGAUGCCACACGCGAUUUAGUUUGAAAGGAAGCUUAGCGCAUUUCUCAUGUAAAUUAAAUCCACAGUCAGGAGAAAAGUGUGUAUACUUUGCUAAUGGUUCCCAACAUCCAAAGCACUUAGCAACAUCUUCAAGUUUGUCAUCAUCAUUUUCAGUAGAAAUCAAAGGAAGUAGAAGGGCAACAUGUUCAAGCUCUUUCAAAUUAUUCUCAGCAAUAUUAAAUGUAAACAAAGCACAUUUAAUAUGAAAGUCCAAUCCGCAAGAGCAGUGAUAAACAAACUCAUUACCGUCUUUAUAGCAAAAAUCACAUAUGUACCCUGAUGAAUAACCUGGAUUCUUAAUGAGAAGACUAUGAUGCAUAAGAAGAAGAGGAUGAUCAGGAUGAAAAGGGUGAUUAAGCUCCAAAGGUGCCUCAGCACAUACCUUGUGAAGGUAAAACCCACAAUCCUCGGCACAGCUAAAACAUGGAGUUGACACCUUCUCGCCACACAUUGAGCAGUCAGCUACAAUCAGCUGAUCUUCAUUCAAAAGAAGCAAAGUAUGUUGGUGACCAUAAUUCAGUGGCUCCUCCAUUUCUCCUUCCUCUUUGGUUUUUUCCGUCAAUGUAGCAAGAAAGAAAAAAAUUGAAACUCAAUGUUUGAAGUGAAAUACUAAUUUGAAAGAAAGAGACUCCAAAACUAUCCUAGUAUAUUGCUUUUAUUCUGUCUUUGCUUUCGUACUUUACUUUAGUUGGUUUCUUUUAUUUGUUUAUAUUUCUUAACUUUUUUAUAUAAAUUUUAUUUUCUUAAUAAUAAAGUUAAAGAUUAGUAAAGUACAAGACAAACCUUUAUUGUAAAAUUAUGAGGGUAUUUUAUAUAAUAUUACAAGUAUUUUGAUGUUUAUAUAUUAUUUAUUACAUGGAUUUUGUUGUUUUGUGCUAAGAAAGUACAUGUCACAAAUUUAGUUGUGUUGGUUGCUCAAUAUUGAUUUGUAGUUUUAUGUGUUUCAUAAAAAGAAAAGUAUAAAAAAAAUAUUUUAUUCAACAAAUUAAAAUAUUUUAUUUAAUUAUCUUUAUACGUUGUUGAUAAUUUCAUAAAACUUAUUAUGAAUUUUUAAACAUAUGUUAAGAUUCCCUAAGAAAGUUAAAAACAAAAGUAUAGCGAAUAUCUAAAAAAGAAAAACCCCCAAAUCUAUCUUUAGUAUAUUUCCUUUAACGAGUUUCUUUAUACUACCUUAAUACUUUGCUUGAGUGAGUGGAUUUCUUAUAAAUGUUUUAUAAUUCAAUGAGGCUUGAUACUUCGUUUGGGUGAGUGUAUUUUAUCAAAAAUAUUUUUUUUACCAAUACAAUAUUAGAGGAUUGAGAAGAGGAUGACGGAGUUUAAAUCACGUCUAGGUGUGAGACAAGAGCUUUAAUUUGCACAUAUAUUGAAGAUGAGAUAAAGUAACUUAGAUUCCUUAGCAAUGUUAACCAAAUUUGUCCAUCAACUCACCAAUUGGUGAACAAAGCUAGAGAACAUAUGCAACAAUGAGUAAACCUCUUAAGCAACUGUUUCGAAUCCAAACUUUUCUUUUUAAAUUUGGGCCAAGGUUAAGGAAAGGUUUGGGGUUGCAAAGUUUGUACCUUCAAUAAUACUUUCAUGGCAAUGAAGCUAUGCUCAUGACUGUUAAUAACAUAACUUUGCUCUCUUAAUUGUCUAAACAAUCUUUGCUUUUAGCCGUCACUAGAUUUAAAAAACAUGCAACAUUAAGAAAAUCAAGCAUUGACCCUAAAUCUUUGCUUUUAUUCUAAACACGUACUCGUAUUUAUCAUUCAUGUCCAAAUUCGAAUAACAUAAGUUUAGAGUGAAAGAGGAAUGAAAGAAGGUAUAGUGAAAGCACUGAAAAUAAAAGUAGUUGGGAUACCACAUGUAACAGGCUUAUUUUGCCCGGCCCGAGCCUAAAUCACCAAAAACCAAAAUUCAAAUAAAAAAUUAAGUGGUCCAAUCACAAGUCCAUUUACAAGGCCCGAAUAUUCUAUGGCUCAAAAACUAAAACACCAGCCUUAGCCCAAAUUUAUCAGAAAGAAAGAAACCCUAGGGUUUCUAUACCAGUAGUGUGCGCCGCUCCCCACGUGCCUGGUCAGCACGUCCGACGCUCGAGGCUCAACCACCCUCUGACCCGUCCCAUCUCCUGCACAUCCAGAGACUGGUAAAAGAAGGCAAAAAGAAGAAUAAAUAACAGCAGACAACACAGAGCAAGGGGAGCAACAUUUUCUUAAUAUUGUAAUCGGCUAUAAAGCCGAAAGGCAAUCACUUUGUAAAAGGGGGGUUUUUGGAUACAAAAAAAGGUUGUAUCACACAAACAUAUUUUCAGAGAAAUCAAAAGCAGAAAACGAUCUUAAAAGGUGUUUGCUCUUAUUUUUUAUUUUUGAUUUUUUUUCUAUUUUGUUUUUGUUUUAUUUAUUUUAUAAAUCUUUUUAACAAAAUGCUUGAAAUAAAUAAAAAGGGAGGGAAAGGGAACUCACCAUAAUCGCGUCACCGGAAUGCCUCCCUAUCUCGAUUUCCUAGGCCUUUAAGGCUUGGCCUUCAAACGCGGCUUAAUCAGAGGCUGAAAAGCCAUUUGAUGUUGCCCCGACCACCGUCCGUGGUGGAGGAUCGAAGGGCUAACAGCGGCACUAAGAGGGUUUGAAACCCUAGCAGAGGAAAAGGAGAAAGUUUUUGAAACUUUCUUUAAAAAAUCGGCUGGAAAUGAAGCAUGAAUUUUUUUUUGGGUUUUAAUAAUAAGAAGAAAACGGUGAGGUUUUACACCCAAUGCCCUAGCGCCGAAACGGCGUUGUUUAGGGUAGAUCCGCGCGCGACUCGACCCACUUCAGGGGGAUCUGCGCGUUUUGCUCUGUUGGGAUAUUUAUCCCUUUAAUCCCCUGCUUUGUACAUUUGUUCCAAUUUUGUCAUGUUUUCUUUUCUUUUAUCUUCUAAAAUUCUCCCUGCUUAAUUUUAAAAGUUUUAUUUUGGUCCUUUUUAAAUGAUGUGUGUAGUAGGCCAAAUUUGCCCGACCCAUAUAAAAACAAAAAAACAAACCAAAAAUAAAAUAAACAAAUAAAAAACCACAGUCCAUUACAGUCCAAUUACAAAAAAACCAAGCCCAAAUUAAUGUUAAACCUAGACCCAACCCCAAAAGUACACCAGCCCAAAUGGCCCAAAAUUUUUAGAACGAACAGAACCCUAGGGUUCUCUCUCUCGCGCCGCAGCCAAGCCCCAGCCUUGGCCUCCGUACCCUCCAGCAGCCACGCACGCGCGCCUCCGUACUCCAGCCUAGACCCGUACCCGAGCACCAACGCACAGCCCCGUGCUCCGUACCUGCAAAAGAAAACAAACAAAAGCAGCAACAAGCCAAUACAAAAGCAAAGGACAAAAAUUGUUGUUUUCUUUAGUUAUUCGGCUAUAAAGCCUUUGAUUUUCGAUUGUAAAAAGGAGACUACGAACAGAUUACACAAAAAAAGAGGAAUCAAAUACAAAGAAGUUGAAUAUUCUGUAAAGGUUGUUCCCUGUUUUCAUUUUUACACCUCUAUUUUCUUUUUAUUUUGAAAUCUAUCUCAAAAACAAAAAAAGAAAGCAAAAGAGAGGUUUACCUUACGAGUUGGCUGUCGGUUCCCCUUCAUUUCGUCGAAGUCGGGGUUUAGAAGGGAUCCCACAGCCGAAAUGGUCAUCCUUUGAAGCCCGGGGCUGUUCGUCUCUGCUGAUAGACGCAGAUCGGCGCUAAAGGGGGAGUUCUAAGGUCAGACGAGAGGGGUAAGAGGGGCUAGGGUUUGUUUGGCCGAAUGAUUCAGCUUUAGGUCCUUUUAAAGGAUCAAAUAUGACGCCGUUUUAAGCCCGUUUCAAUGGCUCAGAAACGACGUCGUCUAAUCGCGCCCGACCCGAUCGAGUUUGCUGCCCUGAUGACCCGCGUGUUUUUGCGGUGAGGGCAUAUUUCCAAAAUCGGCCCCUCCCCUUUCGCACCACAUUUCAAUCAGUUCGCACUCAUGCUUCAGGAUUUUUUUUAUUACCCCUGCGAUUUGUGCGCGUUUGCACUCUAGUCCACCGUACAGUGUCGCGUUUUGGGCAUCUAGAAUAUUUCCAGCUAUAGUCCUUACAUACUUGCGCGGAAUUUUCGAUUUUUUAUUUAUAAACUAUUCAUCUUAUUUUAAUUCAUUUUUAUUUUAGUUUUCUAUUUGUAUAACUUACCUUUUAAACAUAUUUAAUAUUUCUAUAUCGAUC